UGCAAAAUCCCUCCUUUCACCUAUAAAUACCAUCACCACCAUCCACACUCAAAAAACACCACACACUCUUCAAUACACAUUCCAUAACCACCACAACAACAAUGGCCAAGCUCACCAUACUAGUAGCCCUCGCCCUUUUCCUCCUCGCUGCCCACGCAUCUGCGAGGCAGCAGUGGGAACUACAAGGAGACAGAAGAUGCCAGAGCCAGCUCGAGAGGGCGAACCUUAGGCCCUGCGAGCAACAUCUCAUGCAGAAAAUCCAACGUGACGAGGAUUCAUAUGGACGGGACCCGUACAGCCCUAGUCAGGAUCCGUACAGCCCUAGUCAGGACCCGGACAGACGUGAUCCGUACAGCCCUAGUCCAUAUGAUCGGAGAGGCGCUGGAUCCUCUCAGCACCAAGAGAGGUGUUGCAAUGAGCUGAACGAGUUUGAGAACAACCAAAGGUGCAUGUGCGAGGCAUUGCAACAGAUAAUGGAGAACCAGAGCGAUAGGUUGCAGGGGAGGCAACAGGAGCAACAGUUCAAGAGGGAGCUCAGGAACUUGCCUCAACAGUGCGGCCUCAGGGCACCACAGCGUUGCGACUUGGAAGUCGAAAGUGGCGGCAGAGACAGAUACUAAACACCUAUCUCAAAAAAAGAAAAGAAAAGAAAAGAAAAUAGCUUAUAUAUAAGCUAUUAUCUAUGGUAAUGUUAGUUUUGGUAAUAAUAAAGAUCAUCACUAUAUGAAUGUGUUGAUCGUGUUAACUAAGGCAAGCUUAGGUUAUAUGAGCACCUUUAGAGUGCUUUUAUGGCGUUGUCUAUGUUUUGUUGCUGCAGAGUUGUAACCAUCUUGAAAUAAUAUAAAAAGAUCAUGUUUUGUUUUGGCGAGUAUAUUAUGUUUUAUUUCUCAUUUUGGUUUUUCUGAUUGAUGAUGAUUAGUUGAAUAAAAGGUAUUGAAGGUUUUUUUCCCCUAAACUUCAUCUAUUUAAAAAUUUAGAUCAAGUAAAAUUUUAAUUUUUUUAAAAAGUUAUAUUAUUUGGUGGAUAGGGUGUUUUCACGCUAAAAUUUUGAAUACAGGUGUUAGAGAAAAGAAUGACGCGAAGAGAGAUGGAUGUGCUUCUUUGUUAGAGACGCACUAGUCAAUUCAGGACAACAUUAUGUCAAUGUCACAUUAGGUNNNNNNNNNNNNNNNNNNNNNNNNNNNNNNNNNNNNNNNNNNNNNNNNNNNNNNNNNNNNNNNNNNNNNNNNNNNNNNNNNNNNNNNNNNNNNNNNNNNNNNNNNNNNNNNNNNNNNNNNNNNNNNNNNNNNNNNNNNNNNNNNNNNNNNNNNNNNNNNNNNNNNNNNNNNNNNNNNNNNNNNNNNNNNNNNNNNNNNNNNNNNNNNNNNNNNNNNNNNNNNNNNNNNNNNNNNNNNNNNNNNNNNNNNNNNNNNNNNNNNNNNNNNNNNNNNNNNNNNNNNNNNNNNNNNNNNNNNNNNNNNNNNNNNNNNNNNNNNNNNNNNNNNNNNNNNNNNNNNNNNNNNNNNNNNNNNNNNNNNNNNNNNNNNNNNNNNNNNNNNNNNNNNNNNNNNNNNNNNNNNNNNNNNNNNNNNNNNNNNNNNNNNNNNNNNNNNNNNNNNNNNNNNNNNNNNNNNNNNNNNNNNNNNNNNNNNNNNNNNNNNNNNNNNNNNNNNNNNNNNNNNNNNNNNNNNNNNNNNNNNNNNNNNNNNNNNNNNNNNNNNNNNNNNNNNNNNNNNNNNNNNNNNNNNNNNNNNNNNNNNNNNNNNNNNNNNNNNNNNNNNNNNNNNNNNNNNNNNNNNNNNNNNNNNNNNNNNNNNNNNNNNNNNNNNNNNNNNNNNNNAGUUGUUUUAACCGUUGAUUUCAAUUAAUGUAUAUUAUAUAUAUUUUUUUAUAAUUUAGAUUAAUGGUUAAAACAACUGGAACACCAAUAUUUUCGGUAUACUUAAAACUCUUCCUAUAACAUAAACUGUAACACUUUACCACACAGAGUCUUAUGUUUAAGUCAUAAAACAGAGGUGGUCAGGUAUUAUGACCUCUAAAAAUAAAAUUUAGUACAUAUAGUAUUGCAAAAAUAUUUAUAACUAGGAGCCUUUGAAGCUUCAAAGUGGGUAAAUCAAAACCGAUUAAAUCAAAAAGCGCAACACUCCGAUCGAUAACGUAAACGAAACAACGAUAGAAUGAGCUAACACGAUAAGAUAUACAAAAGAGUGCCAAUGAUACAUAUAUCAAGGCCCAUGAUUCGAUUUGCGAAGGUAAUCGGUCCGAACAUAUAAGGUAUACAUACAUAUAUAAGGAACUUCCCAAAAGACAACCCACAAGACAAAAUACAGAACCUGUUUUUUUCAAAAUACCCUCUAAGAAGAGUUAAUACAAAAUACAUAUACAGUAAAAAAUAUAGUAUCUAAACAAGUAUAAAAUAACCAAAAUAAAAUUCCAAAAUACAAAGAUUUCCGCCAAAAGAAAGUCUUCAGUAUACCUCAGUGAGGAGCCUCACGUCCUGCAUCUGAAAACCACAAAAUCCGCAUGAGUGAGAACCGGUGGUUCUCAGCAUGGUAACAGUACCCAAAUAUCUAACAUGUAAUGUCCUGGAAAAGUCGAAGGCAAUCCUAGAACUUCCAAAUUAUAAUCAAAGCGCAUAAACAUGAUAAGCCAUAAAAAAUGUAAAUAGGUGACUAACUUAAGAGUCUUCAAACUAACUAAACAUCCCCUUUCUAAAUCCUGCAAACCUCCCAACCGCCAAUAGUAACAGAUACAAACACAAGUAUAUCAAACAAAGAAAUGCACGAGUAGGAAACAGAUAAGACAAUUAAGCAAUUAGCAAGUAAUGAUGCAAUCAAUUAGGUAAUCCAGACAAUUCACAUAUAAUGCAUAUGAUGCAUGCUUAUCCUAGUGGUUGAUGAGUCUCAUCUGUUAGUUAUCUAUCCAACUCGACGUGUUCGAUAGCUAACCCGGCCACAGUCUCUCUAUUGCGCGUUAGUACCAUUAAAGGGAAUACGUGCCCUGUCACCGUUAGAGAGUAUAUGCGCCCUGUCACCAAUUUACCAUUAGAGGGUAUCUGCGUCCUGUUGCCAUUAGAGGGUAUCUGCGCCUUGUCGCCCUCACAACCAGAGAGAAAGCAUUACAAAUAUACUCACACCCAACCUCUCCAUUUGUUAUUCAUUUACCGUAUUCAAUCAUGAAUUACAUAUACAUUUAUCCUCAGCCAAACAUCAACACCUAUCUCAGCCAUCCGGCGUAAAUUCAUAAUUCAUUAACAGCCAUAACCCAGCAUCACACACAGUCAUUUGACUCAUAUCAUUCCCGGCCAUUCGGCCCAUACCAUACACAGUACUCCACCAUCUUCCUCCAAAAUUCAUAUCAUCAUUUUUCUUUAUAACCCAUCAUAACAUCCCCGUUCUUCAUCCAUAAGCUACCCUUUCCCCCAGCUUACUCACAUUCACUAGGUAUUCUAUAUCAAUUUAAGAUUUAAGGGAUGAAUUUGGGGGUUUAUAAGCGUGAAAUAACAUCUCGGAAGGUUACGAUCUUGUUGGGAAUGUGAAGAACUUGAAAACAAGAGUUUUAGAAAUGAACUGGGUCACGUGCGUACGCACAGGGGUGUGCGUGUGCACGCCCAAAAGCAUUUUUAAACGCGUGCCUGUGCGUACGCACAGAAAGCAAAAUCUUCAGGGUGAGGCGCGCGCACAACGUGUGCUAGCAUCGCCACCAGUGUGCCAUUUCCAACGUGUGCGUGCGCACAGACCGGUGCAUGCGCACAGACCGGUGCGUACGCACAGCUCGAAAUUCUUCGAUGGUUGUGUGUGCGCACAGGGCAUGCUAGCGCUACCACCAGCAGCCCUGUCUCCGUGUGUGCGUACGCACAAGGCUGUGCGUGCGUACAAGACCAAAUCCUCGCAGUGUGCGUGCGCACACAAACCAGAAAUCAUAAAUUCUACAGAAGUUGCAGAACUCAGUUUUCUGGCCCAAACUUCCAGCGAUCAUAUCUCCUUCCACAAAAUUCAUAUUUCCACCAAAUUUAAACCAUUUUAAAGCUUAUAAAGUUAUUUUUCAUUUGAUAUAAAAAUCAUCAAAUUUCGAAAACAAUAGCUCAAGAUAUGAUCCGUGGAAGUUCAUCAAAUUUUCAUUUUCAUCAAAAACUCAUAAACUCCUAAUUUUAAAACAUACACUUAUCAAACUCAUUCAAAACCCAUCAAAACUCAUUCUUCCAACAUCAAUCAUUGCCAAUGACUCAUACAAUCAUCAACCCACCAAUUCUACCAUAUUUAUCCAAAUCUCAAUUUAACAAAUCUCAUAUCACAAUCAACAUUUCAUAUCUCAAUCCCCCAAUAAAUAUUCAAUUCAUCAAUCACCAUAUAUAUAAAUAUAUAUACACAUAUCAUCAUCACAUUUCAAAUCAUGCUCAUCAUCAAGAGCCCCAACUUUAUCAUCAAUCCAACAUAUUAAAUCCACAUAACAUACAACAAUACAUGCUUUAUCAACCAUACAACCACUCACAAUCAUGUCCAUAAUCAUUCAUACAUUUCUAAUUCAAUCCAAAGUAACCAACAACCACAUCAACAAUUCCAAAGUCCUAUCCUAGGUUCACUAGCCAACGUUUUCACACCACAUUACAUUUUAAAUACAGGAAACCGAAGCCAUACCUUGGCCGAUUUUCGUUCCACCCGGAACCCUCUCAAAUUCACUUUUUCUCAACUUCCAAUGCCUUAAUACUUCACCAACAGAUUUCUAGGCACAAGCUCCACUCCAAGGCUUGUCAAAAUCACUAAUCAAGCUCCAAUAUACAUAUAUACAAAGCCUAAACCACAAUAUCACACCCAAACACAAUAACUCAAUACCCAACACCUCAAAUUCAACAUAUUCACUUGGGUUAGAGAAUCUUACCUUACCCAAUGACCAAGAAAGCUAGAGAAAGCCUUCUCUUCAAGUUAAUUUGAGCCUACAACAUCCAAAUUCAAAAAUCUCAACACUUUACCCACAAAUUUUUGAAAAUGAGAACUGAGAAUUCGAAGAACAAACUGUGGCUUACCUCAAGAUUGCUUAUGUGAGUUUUUUAGAGCUCGAUGCCGCGAUCGCGUGGCUGUAAACAGUGCGUCAAUCGGAGCUCCAGAUCAAAAGAUAUGAUCAAUUGAAGUUGGAGCAAGGGUUUGUGUUUUCCUCCCCCUUUCCCCUCUCAAUCUCAGCGUGAAUGUGUUCUUGAGGGAGGGAGAGAGCUGAGCUUCAUUAAUUAAAUGAAGCUUGGCUGGGUCAUGGGCCCAACUUGGGUCCGGUUAGUUCAGUUUGGUCUGUUCGGCCCAAUCUUGAGCCGAUUUCUUUAAAAUUAGUGUCGAAAUUCUCGUUUUAAUUUUAUCUAUCACAUUAAAUCAUAAAAAUCGCAUUUCUCACUUUCUAAAAUAUAUUUUAAUUUAUUGGUUAAUUAGCCAUUAAUUAACUGAAUUUUUCAUAAACAAAUUUAAAUCAAUUGUUUGUGGUUAGAAUUUUACCAUAUCUUUUCAAUUUUAAUGGAUAAUUUAUCUCUUAUUAUAUAUCAUAACAUUAGUGGUUGAAUAAUUAAAUUGGUUUGUCAUGAUUAAAUUUAAUUUUUUAUUUAAUUUAAAUUUUAUUAAAUUAACUAUAACUAACUAUGGUAUAUUUUUUUUUUGUAAUUUAUAAAAAGAUUUAUGCUAUGUGUACACUAAAAUUAGCCAUCAAAGUCAGCCACCAAUAUAAAAUACAUGUUAAAAUACAAAUACACAUUAAAAAUAAAUUAAACCACAUAUAUAUUUAUACACAAAUACAUUGAUAGUUAAUUUUAGUAGCUGAUUUUAGUGUACAAAUAACAUUUUUCUUAUAAAAAUCAUUAAAAAAUUCUCACUUUGUAAUUUAUUUUUUCUCAAACCACAUAUUUAUUAAUAAUUUCAAACAAAAAAUCUCAAAAAAANNNNNNNNNNNNNNNNNNNNNNNNNNNNNNNNNNNNNNNNNNNNNNNNNNNNNNNNNNNNNNNNNNNNNNNNNNNNNNNNNNNNNNNNNNNNNNNNNNNNNNNNNNNNNNNNNNNNNNNNNNNNNNNNNNNNNNNNNNNNNNNNNNNNNNNNNNNNNNNNNNNNNNNNNNNNNNNNNNNNNNNNNNNNNNNNNNNNNNNNNNNNNNNNNNNNNNNNNNNNNNNNNNNNNNNNNNNNNNNNNNNNNNNNNNNNNNNNNNNNNNNNNNNNNNNNNNNNNNNNNNNNNNNNNNNNNNNNNNNNNNNNNNNNNNNNNNNNNNNNNNNNNNNNNNNNNNNNNNNNNNNNNNNNNNNNNNNNNNNNNNNNNNNNNNNNNNNAUUUUAUCUUACUUCUUUCGUAUUAUUAAAAAAAAUUCAUUUUUCAUACAAAAACAAUUUGAAAAAAAAAAAAGCAAUUAAACUCAGGGUUGUUGAGAACAAGAAAAAAAAAGAGGGAAAAAAAGAACUAUGCAAUCUGCACCAAAUUUGACGAAUUUUAAGGGAGUUUAUUUUAAAAAUAUGUUAUUUUCUCAAAAAAUUCUAUAAUUUUACGUACUUGUAUAUAUCUCAAUUUAUUUAUUCAAUAAAUUCAUUUAACAUACUCUAAUUGAACUGUAAUUAAAAAUAAAUUUUAUUGUAAUAAAAGUUUNNNNNNUUGUUAGUGGCAAUUUCAUGCAUUUCUGGCGAGAAGGGAAACGAUUUUUCCGGUAGCAGCAUGGAGAUGGUGGCAUCAAUAUUUGAUGGUGUUAAGGAAUAUAACGGAUGAUGUAGUUUUUUCCUUCUAUUAAUAAUAACUCAUAAACAGAAUAGCCAAUGAGUUAUAACUCAAAUGACAUAGUCUUUUCAUACUCAAUUAAGAGGUUACGGGUUCGAGUCUUUUAUCUUUAGUAAAAAAAAAAAAAAAACUCAUAUUGCAUUCCAAUGUUUUUUUAUUUUUUUAAUAUUUUUGUUUAAGACAUAAAAAUAGGAAAGAAGAGAGAAGUUGAAGAUGUCUCUUUAAUGGGCCAUGGACAUUUUGUUUUAAUUAAUCAAUUACAAUUUUUGUUUUACAUACAUGUGUGCUUUUAGCGAGUGGGUUGUCAAAUUUGUGAAAAAUAAAAGAGUCAACGCCAAUUUAAAAAAAAAUAAAAUAAUAAAUAUUUAUUUUGAUUUUUGAUAAUUUAUUUGAAUAAUAAAAUAUUUUUUAUAAUUUCAAAAUUUUAAAUUAAUUUUUAAUUAUUUAAAUAACUAACAAUUUGAAAGUCGCUAACUGAUCUCUACCUAUUUUAAUGUUGAUCUAAUUGAUUUUCAAUCGUUCAAGUAAUUGAUCCAAAUGAUCUUUGUAAACAAUAACUUAAAUCAAUAUAAAAAAUUAUUUAAACUAAUUAUUUAAUUAUUUAGAUAAGAGAUUGAUUAAAAAAUUUUAAAUUUGAAAAAAUUAUUUAUCGUUCAAGCAAAUAUUUAAAGAACAAAAAGAAUAUUUACUCAAUAAAAAAUAAAUAAGUUUUGAAAACAAAAUAGACGAUUAAUAUAUUGAAGUAAGGCUAAUUCUAUAUACUUAUUAUUUAAUGUUUAAAUUUUGUCUACUUUAUUUUUUAUAAUAAAUUUUAAAUAUUUAAAAUUUACUAAAAAAAUUAGACAACAAAUAUUAGAUGCCAUAGAAUUGGCCUUAUAAUUAAUAUGUGACAUUAGAGUGGCGGCAGAUGCUAGACUCAAAAAUAAUAAUCUGUGCCAAAACAAACUAGUAGGAAGUAGCUUAUAUUAUGAGCUAUUAUGUAUGCUUGUUUCGUUAAUAAUAAAUAUCAUCACUGUAUGAAUGUGGUGAUAGGUAAGGUUAUAUGAGCACCUUCGGUGUGCUCUUAUGGCUUUACCUAUGUUUUGCUACUGCAAAGUUUUAACCACCAUGAAAUAAAAGAUCUUCAAGUAUAUUAUGUUUUAAUUUCUUUGACAUUAAUGAAAAUCAAACUCUUCUAAUUUUUUUUAAAUAAAUUUUUUGAUACUAUGACAUUUAAACAGAACAAAAAUAUUUAGUAAACAAAAAAUAUUAAUAAAAAAUGAUUAAAAAUUAUUAUUUUUAGUUUUAUUUAAUACAUUUUAUAAUAAAUAAAUAUUAAAUAAGACAUAUUUAAAUUAUUUAGGUAGAUUAUUUUUUGUUUUCUAAUAUUACCAUAAACAGAACUGCGUAUAUAAAUAGUUAUACGGUUAAUUUAUAUUUGUAAUAAAGCUGAUCCGGACAAUGAUACCAUUAAAAGAAAAUGUAGUUAGCUUAUUAAGCAGAGAUUAGACGGACAAUGAUAUCAUUAAAAGAAAAUAUAGUUAGGUUAUUAAGCAGAGAUUAGACUGUUGUAGGCGAGGGACUGUAAUGGUAUUGAAAAUUGAUUUACUGUAAUAAGAGAAAUAAGAAUAUAAGAGAAAAAGAAAUAGAUAGAAAAGAGAAUGAUUAAGGAAGAAGAAGAGAUCAGAUGUCUAGAUAGACAUUUCAUAAUUUACACAUAUUCACUAUUAUUAUUACUANNNNNNNNNNNNNNNNNNNNNNNNNNNNNNNNNNNNNNNNNNNNNNNNNNNNNNNNNNNNNNNNNNNNNNNNNNNNNNNGAUUUUUGAAUUGUCUAAGAGUGGCUAUUCAUCAGUCAUCAAUGUUGGGUUUACUUUUUGAGAUAGGACCUAUCUCUUUGUAUUUGUGUUAGACAUGUGAGUAGUAGGUAACUUAAAAGAUACCUUACUAAAAUUCUAUUUGUUUAAAAAAAUACCUGACCCAUCAUGUGUUUAAAAUAAUUUUCUUUACAAGUUGGUCCAAAUUUUAACCAACAUUUGACAUAUGUAUAGUAAGGGUUUAAUUUCUAAAGAUGGGUUUUCACUUCCUCAUUAUUCUCCUUUAUGAAGAGAAAAGACAUCAAGUCAAAGGAUUCAUCAAUCACCUCUAAAUUUGUCUGUAUCAUUGUUAUUUAUAGGCUUUUGUCUUAGGUUUACACAUAUACACAGUGAAAAAUCACAUAUUAUAUAGAAUAAACACCAAAACAACAAAAAAAAAAAAUCACAAAACAUAAUUUUUAAUUUUUCUGUAUCUCUAUAUAUUUUCAAUAUAGAUGAGAAUAAAUACUUAUGUUUUGUCUUAUCUUGUUGCUCGAUCCAUCAAAAUUCAAAAGACUAGAGUUAUUUACGAAUUAGAUUGGUUUGGAUUUAAGAAAAAAAAUCAAACUGAUUAAAUUUAAUUAGUUCGAGUUGGUUCGAAUUUAAUUUUUUUUAAGUAAAUCCAAAUCAAUUUGGACAGAUUAGAUUUGAAUUGAAUUAGUUUAGAUGAUUAGGUAUCUGAUUGAAACUCGAUCCAUCAAAAGACUAGAGUUAUUUACGAAUUAGAUUGGUUUGGAUUUAAGAAAAAAAAUCAAACUGAUUAAAUUUAAUUAGUUCGAGGUUCGAGUUGUUUAAUUUUUUUUAAGUAAAUCCAAAUCAAUUUGGACAGAUUAGAUUUGAAUUGAAUUAGUUUAGAUGAUUAGGUAUCUGAUUGAAACAAAAGAUGAGGAGGAGGAAGAUGAAGAGUUUUGAAUUAUGCAGAACUUAUCAGAAUAAAGAUGCAUUGAAAUUUAUUAACAAAAAUACAUAAAUUUCUUAGUUUUUAUACCGAAACUUUGCUACAAAAGCACAAAAAUAUCUUCUUUAAUGUUGUAUUUUUUUCUUCUUUUUUUCUUAUUUCUUUCUUUCUUUUAGUUGAAUGAAUGUAGGUUUAUCCCCUUCCUAGUAAUUUUGCAGCAUUAUGUGUUUCUUCUUCUUUGUUUGAUAUUUUUUUUUGUUUUUAUUUUUGUUAAAAGAGUAAAACAAGAAGAAAUUUGAGAAGGUAAAACAAGAAAGAAAAGAUUAAUAAAAAAAAGACGAUGAUGAAAAUGAAGAAGAAGCAGCAGAAGAUGAGGAGGAAGAAGAGAAAGAGUUGUGAAUUAUACAGAACUUAUCAGAAGAAAAAUACACUGAAAUUUCUUAACAAAUACACAUAAAUUUCUUAGUUUUUAUACCGACACUUUGCUACAAAAGCACAAAAAUGUGCAACAUCUCAUUAGUAAAUUAAUGUGCAGGAAUAAUCGGAUAAAUUGUGUGCUUUUUGGUCGGGUUAUAGAUAAUAUUAUGCCUCACCUUGAAGAAGAAAGGGUUGGACCCCUCAUCGUUGUGCUGAGUUUUGAAUUAUGCAGAACUUAUCAGAAUAAAAAUAACACCAAAAUUUCUUAACAAAUACGCAUAAAUUUCUUAAUUUUUACACCGAAAUUACUUAAUAUGAUUGCAAUAUGCAAACUCAGUUUAAAAACAAGAAUACAAACAAGACUGAAUCAUGAACAAAAACAUAUCCAAAUUAAUUUUGGAUCAGGCAACGUCAUUAAUAUGACAAAAAUUCAACAAUAAUGAUAAUAAUAACGAUAAAAAAAGAUGACGAUAAUAAUAAUAAUAAUGAUAAUGAUGAUAAUGAUGAUGAAGAUAAACGAUUAUAACAACUUGGUUAAGUAUUUUGUUUAGAUAUAAAAUUUUAUUCUUUUGGAUGUAUAAUCAAAUUAUCCGUACCAUAAACACCUGUACAAAAAACCGCUAGCGCUGCAUCAUAUGUUAAUUGAUAUAUUAAAUUUACUAUAUUCUAUCUUUUUCUGUACGUGCAUAUUGUAACACCCUACCACACUUAAUCUUAUGCUUAAGUCAUAAGACUGAGAUAAUAGGUAUUACGAUCUCUAAAAUUAAAAAUAUACAUAUAAUAAUAGUGAAAGAAAUAUUUAACUAGGAGCCUUGAAAAAUGGAUAAAACAAAAUCGCAAAAAUAAAAGCGCAACGCUCAGGAAAUGAGAUAACUUGCGUGCUAAGAAAUCUAAAGAUAAUAAGUAUAAAUAGACAGAAAAUGAGAAUAGAGAGUCAAGGAUACAAAAUAACUAACUCCUAACUCAGCCUGCGAAGUCAAGGCUGACCGGAGAAUAUUUACAUACAUAUAUACAUAUCCCAAAAACCCCUGAUACAUAGGUAAAGUCCUAGCUCUCCUUUAACCUCUAAGAGGAACAAAAUAAACAAGUUUCUUGGAGAUAAAGCUAAGUACAUAUAUACAUAAGAUACAUAACAAAAGAACCCAGAAACUGCUCCGCUUCAGGAGUCCAGACGCCUAGCGAGGUGCCUCUCGACCUGCAUCUGAAAAAUAACAAUACAAUAUGGGGUGAGAACCGGAGGUUCUCAACAUGGUAAAUGUAACAUCUAGCAUUUUUUGAAAAUCUAAAUAUAAAUGAAUUGUGAUAUUAUCUUAUCAAGUUUAAAAUUUAUAAUUUUAGAAAUUAUUUUGUUAGAAAUAAUUAAAUAGAUUGGAGAUAAUUUUAUUUUGAAUUAAUUAAUAUUCUUAAGUGAUAUUGAUUGAUUAUGUGGAUUGUGAAUUGUUUGAUGACCAAUUGUUGAGAAUUUCUAAAUUUUGAUGAUUAUAUUGGAUUGUUGUCGUUGAGCUGGUUAUUGAUGUAUUGUGAUGGCGAUGAAUUUAGUUGGUAGUUGAUUUGGAAUUAAUUUUGAGAAGUAUUAAAGGGAUUGAAUUUUGAAAUACUAAACUACUUGUUGAAAAUAUGAAGUUUUGAAAUGAAGCGGCAACUUUGAAAGUGAACCGGCAUCUUAAUAGUGAUUGGAAUGAUAUGAGACUAAAAGCUAAGCGAACUACAAUAAGUAUAGUUAUUAAUAUUCAAUUUUAAAGGUUUCGUAUUAACUAGAGAAUUAGUUAUGAUAUUUCAAAGUUGAAUUAUGAAAUUUGAUUUUCUACAUUACUUUUAAACGAAGUCAGAAACUUUGAAAAGCUAUAACUAAUUUUGUGAUGAUCGGAAUUGCAUGGGACCAAGUCUGGAUUAAACUUAGGAAUAUAGGGAAUUGGACUGAAAAAUUUGAGGCAUUUUUGUUAAAUGUACAAUUUAUGGUGAAUUUUUAGAUUUAAGUUGAUAAAUCUGUCCUGCAGCAGAGAAGUUCAAAUAGGGCAGCAACUUGUUUGUCUUGCUGCGACUCCUACGAGUUGAGUUUUGGAGCAAAACUAAUAUUGUUUUAAAAUUUGUUUAACUUGGUUUAUUUCUCUAAAAUUUCAAAAUUUUAGGAGUUAAGAAUUGGGAGUUGUGAAUUUUUGAAAACUGGUGAUCAAAGCCGGAAAGAAUCAGUUUUCAGCAAGUUAUGCAUCAACUUCUAAUGCUUGUUGAUGAUAAUCAGUGGCUAAGAGAAGGGGGUUGAAUCUUAGCCCUCUUUUUCUGAAUGUUACUUUCUGCUUUUUAGAAUAGCUCCAGGAGAUAUUCUGCUUUUUGUCUCAUAACUGGUCAAGAGAUAUUUUCUUUUUGGCUCGUAACCGGUUAGGAGAUAUUUUUCAAUUUUAUCUCCCACGAACAGAAACAGUAAAUGAGUAGAAGAGAAAGAGAGAAUCACACCCAAAAGUAUCCUGGUUCAGCUACUAAGUGCAAUGCAGCCUACAUCCAGUCUCCAUCACAAUAGUGACAGAAUUUCACUAUAAUCAACUUGAUUACAGACACUAAUUCUUCCCUAGGAACUACCCAUUCCUAUCCGGGACAAGUCCAGAAUCUAUCCCUAAAACUGAACUUGACUUGGUCACCUACCAAGCUUUCGACUGAAAAGUGCUAACCCAACUUGCAAGGGAACAAGUCAAGAUUCUACCCCAACCCAAACUUGACUAGACCUCAAUCUAGCUUUCAACCGCAAAGUGCUAACCCAACUUGUAAGGGAAUCUCCUCAGGAUCAUGACAACAAAACAGAAAUACAUACAAAGAAUUUUUGAUAUAAUAAUGAUUUUUUCUUUAACUCUGCCUUUUUUUCACUCAUUGGCUUUUUCUUACAAAAUCUCACAUUUUGCCUUUUACCAAUGAAACACAGACAGACUCACUGAGGAAAAGAAAUAUUCAAUGAAAGCCAUGAAGGAGAAGAAUAAAUAGUUCAAAGAGCUAUGGGAACCCGAACGUAUGCUCUCACUCCUUGUCUCAAGCCUUGGCUGCUCACCCUUAUUAUAGAAGGGGAAGCCUCCAAGGUUGAAACGGUUCAAUCGAGCUAACUUCUUCUUCUUCAACACCAAAACCGGUUCGAACAGAGAGAAGAGAGAGGGAACCGAAAGCUAAAACCAACAUGCAAUUACCUCUCUCUCAUCCCUUUUCUUCAAGCUUCAUCAAUCUGAGCCUUCCAUCUUGACUUGGUCCCCAAGAAGGAUUUCUGACCCUUGAUGAACUCUUGAUCCUUGACAGCUCCAUCUGCUCCACUUUUGCUUCCUCCUCCACAUAGCUAUAGUAGCCACCUUCUGUGAUGGAUGAACAAAAAGUAGAAAUGAGCCAUACCACAGGGAUCUUCUUCUCUGACCGAAAUGGAUUGCUACCACUUUUGGCAUGGAGAUCUUGAAACUUCUUCACCACAUCUUGCCAUUAGUAGAAAAGAUCUCAGCCACGCCAUGCUUUGGAUCUUCCUUUUUUGCAAAGGCCAUUAUCCUAGCCUUUUGCUUCUUCCAGCUUCUCUGUAAUUUCUCUGAUAACUUCUUCUUCUUCUUUCUUCCAUCUUCUUUUUUGAUGGAUGUGACAAAUAAAACAAGAGAGAGAAGAGAGAGUAGAAACAAAGCAUUGAUUGUUAGAUUAAAUGAAAUUGAAAUCCUACUAACAAUCCCAAUGCAUAAAGUAACGUGUGGAGCAAUUAAUGCCAUCAAAUCAAUUUUAAUUUUUUCUCUCCUAUUACCAAUGCAUGCAAUAAAAUCAAGUUAAUAAAUUUUGAAUUCCAUAAGCCAUGGAGGAAUGUAACCGUGGAAAGCAUGCACUCAAUUUGAAUUUGGAUCUCACCAAAGUAAAUGGGUAAUAGAAACCUCAUGCUCCAUUUCCUUUUUCUUUUGAUUUUGGACCAAGUCUUGUUGGUCACCUAACAAAAAUUAAUUUGGGCUACUCACAUGAUACAUGGCCCAAAUUACCUUUGCAAAAUAAUUCAGCCAUACUCUUAGAAAUCUUUUUGCACAUUGGCUGAAUAUUUUUUCAUUAUUUUGGACUAUGUUGUUUUUAGCCCAAAUAAACAAAUCAAAGCAUGUGAGAGAGUGAACAUUUUUGUGAUCACCGUAUGGAGCCUUUGGUCACUUAAAGAGAUUGCAUUAAGAUCAUUGAAUGGCUUCUUCCAAGGCUUUGGGUCACUUGUUUCUGUCUUUAAUUUAUGAUGGGUUUUGAUGGAUUUGGGCCUCCUUGGAUUUCUUUCUUUCUUUAAACAAUCAGCUACUAACAUUUGAAUUAUUUUUGCUCAAAGCUAAAUUUGUUCAAAGAUCAAUUUGGGCUUGUGUAACUUUGACCCAAUAGAAAUUAAAUUGCUUGCUUGCACACUUGAACACAAAUCAUCAAACAACCUAUUGGAAAUUAUUAAAUAAAACACUUAAUAAUAAUUUUAAUAAUUUCUUAAUUUAUAUUUUAAUAAUGUUUGAUCAUCAUUUCAGUUUUUCAAACUUAACAAUCUCCCUCUUGAUGACAAACAUUAUUAAAUUGAAUUGAAAGAGUUAGGAUAGAUAACUUCCCUUUGAAGAUUUGCCAAAAUCUCCCCCUUUCUUUUGUUCAAUGUGCUCCCCCUUAAUGUGUGCUUGAUUAAUAAAAUAUUUAAGAAAGCCAUCACCUGUAUACAAGCUCUAAAGAGUUCCAAGAAGAUACAGAUUUCAAAACAUAGAACCUUUAAGAUCGAGCCAUUAUUUUCACAACAUGAUCCAGAUAGCACAUGUAUGUAUACUUAAGCAAAUAAAUUUUUCAAAAUAUAAUUAGAGCUCAAGUUGAAAUUCUCUAACACAGAGUGCUCAAAACAAUGAGCCAAAAUAGAGCACAAAUAUGAAACAAAAUGCUCAUGUCCAAACAGGACAGCAACGAAAUAGUUUCAAUUCAGCAAUUUAGCUCUUCUUUCAUUUUUCUUCCCCUUUUGUCAUUAAAGAGGGACAUAUCAUAUGUCAAAAGUUUGCAAGGAUCUUAUCAAUUUCCAAAAACCAUCAGCCAGCCUUGAAAGAAGCAUGAAUCAGAGCUAAACCAAGCAUUAAUUAAAUACUAUUUAUUCACAGGCUCAUAUGCUAAGCUAUAAACAAUAUUCACAACCAGAUGAAACUGCAGAUUUUUAAAUACAAAUUCAAAUAAUAAACAGCAGCUCAAACAUCAUCAUAGAUAAAAACAAACAGCAGCAACAAUAGCUUCAAACAUUAUUAUCAUAGAUAAAAACAAACAGCAGCCUUUUAAUUCAUUUUUCUUUCUCCUCCUGCAUGGAAAAAUAGUUCACCAUAUAUACAAAAAGUGUAGAGUAGGUAAAAAUGUAAAAUCCAAGUUACAGUCACCCAACAGAAUUCAACAGCUGAGAUCCAAAAAUAGAACCAAAAUUAUGAUAAACUAAUGUUUCAGAAAAAGUUUUUCAGAAGCAACAUCAUGGAGCAGUCUUAAAAAAAAAGAAAACUCAAAUACCAAAAUAAAAAAAAAAACUAUAAUAAGUAUAAGCAAUAUUCACAACCAGACCAAUAUGCAUAUUCAUAGCUGCGUGAAAUAAUAGUGAAAACCCAAGAAAAUUGCAACCAAUCUCAAGCAUCAUAAGUUCAACUGUUUCACUAUAGCUGUUUCAAUUUAUUUUCACACAAUACUUACUCCCCCUGUUGUUAUUGAGAAUAGUAAAUCUGCACACAAAAACAGUUCAAUAUGUAAUCCACAAGUGCAAAACAGGUAUGAGUGUAAGUGUCAACAGAAGUUGUAAAAUUUAUCAUAAAAAAAAAACUAUAAGAAAUUAGCUGCAUCAAAUCGGACUAGACAUCAGAUCCCUCAUCCUUGGUUGUAGGAGGAUCUUCCUCUUCUUUCAAAAUUGUGUCCUUGGCUGCCUUUGUGCCCUUUUUCUUAGAUUUCUUUACAGCACCACUACCUUUAAGAUUUAAAAUUUUGUCUUGGGUUUCAUUACUCAGAUCGACACCACAAUACUCAAAAAUACAAGUUAAAAACAUUCUAUAAGUAAGAAAAAUGGGAGUAGUGGAGAAGAUGAGAAGGUAUCAUAAUAAAUGCUUUAAAUGUUCAAAAAUCUUUUGAAAACCCAAACCAAUUCAAUAAAACGAGAUUUAAAGAAUUUUGAAUUUUAAAAACAAUACACGCAGUUUUGAAAUGACAAGUCAAAUAAAAGAUUGAAAAGAUUUUGAAACUAAUUUGACUUGAAAAAUGAUGAAUGUAAAUACUCUCAUUUUUGGUGUAUGUGAUCAAAACAAGUAAUGAGACCCACUACAUAAAAUAAAACAACUUUCUCUUGGACUUAGUAGUGGUUUUAAGGAAACACAUUUGACCACCAAAGAUUUAUUUCAGAUCCAAAUUCAUUUAAAAUUAUCAACACAUAGUCUGAACUUCAUGGAACCUAGAGGGAGUCAUCAUCUGCUCAGUUUUAUCUUCUUGUAGCCUGAGAGACAAAAACAACCAAAAAAAUCUUUAAGCACAUUUAAUUAAAAAAAACUCAACAAUGAACAGUCCCUAGAGUAGUUCUCAAUUUCACAAAUUGAAUGUCAAUUGUUCCCUUAAGCACAUGUUCUUUUAUGGAAUAGAAUCUUACUUUAAUGUGCUUAGUUCUUGAGUGUAAAACAUGAUUUUUUUUAAAAAGAUUUAUUGCACUCAAGUUGUCACAAAACAUAGGGAUACUAUUGACUUACAAUUUGUAAUGUGCAAGAUAUAUUUUAAACCAAGUCAAUUGAGAACAAGAGGAAGUUGAGAUAUAUAUUUAGCCUCAGCCGUUGACAGAGCAACAGUAGCUUGCUUCUUUCUUGUCCACAUAUGGAUUUUCCAAGACAACAAAAAAUUUCUGAAUUGCUGCUCCUGUUCACACGAUCUCAGCAAGAUCUUAAAUUGGACCAGUUCUUCCUCAUUUGCUUUUAUUCAAGAGGGAUCUUCAAUUAUUUUCUUUAUUUUGGGAGUUCCAUUUGUGAUGCAAGAGCGAAGUUAUUGAGUUUGCCUCUUUUUCUUCUUGAGAAUCUUGUGGUAACUCCAUGAGAGGGAUCUCCAAUGAUAAAUUCAUGUGGAUAGUUCUUCAAGAACUUCUAUUCUCUUGGCUUUUAUGAGGUGAUCUCAAGUUGAGUAUGAACAUGAUCAGUUCCAUUGAGAUUUUCAGAAAUCUCUAUGUCAGGAGGAGACAAAACAGAAUCGUCUCCUAGAUUCUGGUUUGCAGAAUUGUGAACAGCAUCUUCCAUUGAAGGUUCAGAUUUGUCUUUUCCUUGAAUUCUUCUAAAUUUUGUGCAAUCUUAGUUCCUGCAUCAAUUUUCUCAACAACACUUGAAAUAGAGUUAGAAUAAUAAGAAAAUGAUAUGUAUGAACUCCCCAAUUAUUCCAUGUUUAUUGAUGUAAACUCUAUAAGCUUUACUAGUAGUUGAAUAUCCAACAAAGAUACCUUCAUAAGAUUUUUGGAUUAAAUUUUUUAAAAAUAUCUUUAGUGUUUAACACAAAGUAUUUGCAUCCAAAAGUAUGAAAGUACUUAAGAUUGGAUGGUACUCCUUUUCAAAGCUCAUAUGGGUUUUCUUUAAAACUUUUCUAAUGAUGAUUUGGUUCAAAAUAUAGCUUCAAUCCAAAAGAAUUUUAGUAUUUCAUUUUCACCAAAACAUAGCCCUAGUCAUUUCUUGAAGGCCUCUAUUUCUCCUUUCAACAACUCUAUUUUAUUGAGGUAUGCUAGGACAUGAAAAAUUAUAUGAAAUACCAAAUUCAUCAAAGUGUUGUUUUCCAAACUCAUUUUCAUGAUCACUUCUUAAGAAAAUAGUUUUCAUUUUGAAUCUUUUUGCAUAGAGUUAAGACAGCAAGAAAAACAUCAUUCUUAUGAGCUAAGAAAAAGAAUUCAUCCAAACUUAGUAUAGUCAUCAAACACCACUAAGCUAUAGUGCUUACCAGCAAGACUUUGAAUCCUUGUAGGACCAAAAAGAUCAAUGUGUAGCAUUUUUAAAGUUCUUUUGGUUGAGAUGUCAUCCUUGGGUUUGAAAAAUUUUUUUUUGUUUAUUUACCCAAUUAACAAGCAUCACAAGUGGUGUCAUUGUCAAAUUUUAUUUUUAGGAAGAUAUCUAACCAAAUUCUUUUUCCCAAGCUUAGAAACUAGAAACAUGCUUGUAUGUUCUAUUUUCUUAUGCCAUAACUAUUUCUUAGAUUCUGUGGAAAUAAAACAAGCUACAUUUUAUUCUAUUAGUUCCUCUAAGGUUAGUCCAUACACAUUAUCGCAUCUUAUAACUUCAAACAAAAUUUCACCAAAUUUUUCACACACAACUAAGCAUUUCAAUUUCUUGAAAAUAGUCAAACAACAUAAAUCACACAAUUUUCUCAUGCCUAGAAGAUUGUGUUUCAACCAAUCAACUCAAAAUACAACAUCAAUGAAAGUUGAGAAAUUCUUACUAACCUUACCUACGGCCAAAUUUUUUCAUUUACCAUUGUCACCGAAAGUCACAAAGCUUCCAUCAAAUUCAUCAAAGAAAGUGGAUUUUUCGGUCAUGUGCCUAGAGCAUCUCCUAUUCAUGUAUCACAUGUCUUUCUUUUUCUUGGAUGCUAAGCAAAACUGCACAAAUCUUUUAAGUGACCUUAGGUAUCCAAACUAAUUUGGAUCCUUUGAAGUUAACCCUUCUUGGUUGUCCAAGAGCAUUAAAAUCACAGACAACCUUGUAUAUUUUGUUUCCUACUCUUCUUUUGUCAAUAAAGCAUUAAUAAGAAGAGUGACCAGAUUUAUUGCAAUUAAAACAGUGAUUUGUGUGAGCAUGUUGCUGAAAACACUUUAAGAUAUGAUGCUGAUGGUGAUCAAAAGAUUUGAAUUUUUUGGUAUUUGAAAGGGUGCAUUUCUUUUGAAAGAUCCAUCUCUAACAUUAGUACCUCCUUUUGCCAGAAAUCUUAAACCAGAAUUUCUUGACACAGACGGGUAUCUAGAACGUGAGACUCUUUUGUGAAAGAAAAAUUUUCUAAAAACGUCCUCAUUGUUAGAGAUGUAACCCAGACUAGAGUUUAUUUGAAGCAGGUUCAGGUUUUGAAUAAGAUGCAUUUUUAUAAAAAUAUGGCUUUUCAAAAUCAGCAUUAAUGUUAGAUGAAUAUCCAAGACCAGAUUUAUCAAAAGAUGAUUUUAUUUUUGAAGAUGAUGCUGUGAAUUUGCAAGUGAUUUUUUUUAAAUGCAUCUUUUUUUAUUACAUACCCUAAACCUGAUUUUUCAAACAAAGUUCUUUGAUUAGCAAGUAAUUUGUCUAAGUUGCUUGAGUUAUGUGCAAAUUUUGCUAAAUCAUGAUUCAAUCAUUUGAUCAUUUAAUCUUUUAUUUUCAGCAACAGAUUUUUGAGAGAGAUCAAUAAUGCGCUUUCCAUUGAAAAUUUUCAUAUUUAAAAAAAUCUAUUUUCUUUAAUAAAAUCAAAAGCACAUUUGAUCUCCUUCACCCUUUUCUUUUAAAAACUCAUUUUCAGCAUUCAAAACUUCAUUUUCAGAUUUACAUUUGUUGUAUCUAUUUAUCAAUAUUUCAGAAAGGUGAGAGAGAUCAUCAAUAGUCACAUGCAAAUCAUCAAGAGAUAAGUCAUAGAAAUUUACCUCUUCUUGUUGAUCUUCAUCAAUCAUGAAACAGAUUUGUGCUCUAUCUUCGGAGUCCUCUUCCUUAUCUGAGUCAAUCUUGAGAUCCUCCCAAGAAGCCAUAAGUCCUUUCCUUUUUGGUUCCUUUGAGUUGCCACCUCUGCUUCUUCCUUUGAGUUUCAUCAUCCUUCUAAGUUUUCUAGCAAAACAUGCAAACUCGUAAUCUUAUAAACAGUCACUGGAUUCAUCAUCUAAUGAUUUAGUGCAAGAUUUAAGAGCCACUCUCCCUUUUAUUUAUUUUUUUUGUAUCAUCAUUUUUUUUAUUUCAUAUGCUAAUAAAUUUUUCUCUCAACUCAUUACAGGUUAUUUCACUAUCCACUCUCUUGUCAAGCUUCUCAAGAUUUUCCUCACUAGCAUCUGUUCGGAAUGAGUAAUCCCCAUAGCUUUCAAGCUAUUAUUGAUGAUAAAGAAUGUUAUCAAUUGAUUCUUCUUUCUUCAUAGAGAACAUCUCAUACUCUUUGCUCAGCAUGUCAAUGUUGGUUUCUUCCACUUGUGUGGUGCCCUCAUUUGUGACUUGAAACUUUAUCCCAGAUUUUCUUUGCUGUUUUGCAUCUUGAAUCCUUUCGGUAUUCCUUGAAGCUGAUUACACAGUUCAGCAUGUUGACAGUAUUGCUAUUUAGUUUUUCUUUCCUUUUGUAAUCUUCAUUCCAUUCUGCUUCGACUUUGGGAGAGACAACACCACCAGUGCCAUCUUUUGUAGGGACUUGAGGAUCAUUUAUGAUGAUCUUCCACAUGUUGUAAUCCACUGACUGAGAAAAAAAUCUUCAUUCUUCCUCCUUUUUUUGAAGAAUGGAGAUCUAUUGUUAGACUGUCCUUCAGUCAGGAUAUAAGCCACUGUGUUUGAACCCAUGUAGUUCGCCAUCAGGAUCUUUUCCUCCAAGCUGUGAAGCUUGAUCUCUUUGAGACCAAGCUCCGAUACUAAUUAAUGAUAAUCAGUGGCUAAGAGAAGGGUGGUUGAAUCUUAGCCUUCUUUUUCUGAAUGUUACUUUCUACUUUUUAGGAUAGCUCCAAGAGAUAUUUCUGCUUUUUGUCUCAUAACUGGUUAAGAGAUAUUUUCUUUUUGUCUCGUAACUAGUUAGAAGAUUUUUCAAUUUUAUCUCCCACAAACAGAAACAGUAAAGGAGUAGAAGAGAAAGAGAGAAUCACACCCAAAAGUAUCCUGGUUCAGCUGCUAAGUGCAAUGCAGCCUACAUCUAGUCUCCAUCACAACAGUGACAGAAUUUUACUAUAAUCAACUUGAUUACAGACACCAAUUCUUCCAUAGGAACUACCCAUUUUUAUCCGGGACAAGUCCAGAAUCUAUCCCCAAAACUGAACUUGACUUGGUCACCUACCAAGCUUUCGACUGCAAAGUGCUAACCCAACAUGCAAGGGAACAAGUCCAAAUUUUAUCCCAACUCGAACUUGACUAGACCUCAAUCUAGCUUUCAACCGCAAAGUGCUAACCCAACUUGCAAGAAAAUCUCCUCAGGAUCAUGACAACAAAACAAAAAUACAUACAAAGAAUUUCUGAGAUAAUAAUGGCUUUUUCUUUAACUCUCUGCCUUUUUUCUACUCAUUGGCUUUUUCUUACAAAACUUCACAUUUUGUCUUUUACAAAUGAAACACAGAUAGACUCACUGAGAAAAAGAAAUAUUUAAUGAAAGCCAUGAAGGAGAAGAAUAAACAGCUCAAAGAGUUAUGGGAACCCGAACGUGUGCUCUCACUCCUUGUCUCAAACCUUGGCUGUUCACCCUUAUUAUAGAAGGGGAAGCCUCCAAGGUUGAAACGGUUCAACCGAGCCAACUUCUUCUUCUUCAACACCAAAACCGGUUCGGACAGAGAGAAGAGAGAGGGAGCCGAAAGCUAAAAUCAACAUGCAAUUAUCUCUCUCUCAUCCCUUUUCUUCAAGCUUCAUCAAUCUGAGCCUUCCAUCUUGACUUGAUCCCCAAGAAGGAUUUCUGACCCUUGAUGAACCCUUAAUCUUUGACAGCUCUAUCUGCUCCACUUUUGCUUCCUCCUCCACGUAGCUAUAGUAGCUACCUUCUGUGAUAGAUGAACAAAAAGUAGAAACGAGCCAUACCACAGGGAUCUUCUUCUCUGACCGAAAUGGAUUGCUACCACUUUUGGCAUGGAGAUCUUGAAGCUUUUUCACCACAUCUUGCCAUUAGUAGAAAAGAUCUCAGCUACGCCAUGCUUUGGAUCUUCCUUUUUUGCAAAGGCCAUUACCCUAGCCUUUUGCUUCUUCCUAACUUCUCUAUAAUUUCUCUGAUAACUUCUUCUUCUUCUUUCUUCCAUCUUCUUUUCUGAUGGAUGUGACAAACAAAACAAGAGAGAGAGGAGAGAGUAGAAACAAAGCAUUGAUUGUUAGAUUAAAUAAAAUUGAAAUCCCACUAACAACUCCCAAUGCAUAAAGUAACGUGUGGAGCAAUUAAUGCCAUCAAAUCAAUUUUAAUUUUCUCUCUCCUAUUACCAAUGCAUGCAAUAAAAUUAAGUUAAUUAAUUUUCAAUUCCAUAAGCCAUGGAGGAAUGUAAUCGUGAAAAGCAUGCACUCAAUUUGAAUUUGGAUCCCACCAAAGUAAAUGGGUAAUAGAAACCUCAUGCUCCAUUCCCUUUUUCUUUUGAUUUCGGACCAAGUCUUGUUGGUCACCCAACAAAAAUUAAUUUGGGCUACUCACAUGAUACAUGGCCCAAAUUAUCUUUGCAAAAUAAUUCAUCCACACUCUUAGAAAUCUUUUUUCACAUUGGCUGAAUAUUUUUUUUCAUUAUUUUGGACUAUGUUGUUUUAGCCCAAAUAAACAAAUCAAGGCAUGUGAGAGAGUGAACAUUUUUGUGAUCACCGUAUGGAGUCUUUGGUCACUUGAAGAGAUUGCAUUGGGAUCAUUGAAAGGCUUCUUCCAAGGCUUUAGGCCACUUGUUUCUUUCUUUAAUUUAUGAUGGGCUUUGAUGGAUUUGGGCCUCCUUGGAUUUCUUUCUUUCUUUAAACAAUCAGCCACUAACAUUUGAAUUAUUUUUGCUCAAAGCUGAAUUUGUUCAAAGAUCAAUUUGGGCUUGUGUAACUUUGACCCAAUAGGAAUUAAAUUGCUUGCCUGCAAACUUGAACACAAAUCAUCAAAUAACUUAUUGGAAAUUAUUAAAUAGAACACUUAAUAAUAAUUUUAAUAAUUUUCUAAUUUACAUUUUAAUAAUGUUUGAUCAUCAUUUCAGUUUUCCAAACUCAACACUUGUAACUCUUAAAAUUGAAUAGCAAUUGGGUUGCAACCAAGACACUCUUGUUGCUAGAUAAGUUAUGAGUUUUCAAACCAAACUUUAGCCUAAUUGAAGUUUUGUAGUAAAAGUUAUGCAAGUUGAAAGAUACUAAGCUGCUUGAUUUCUAAAAACAGAUUUUGAAUUAUUUCUAUCUAACUUUCAAAUUAUGAAACUUCUUCAUUAAAAAUGAUAUUAACCUGGAACUAGUUGAAAAAAAAACUUGGAUAAGUUAAGUUUAACCAUAUUAAUUUUGAAGGUGGUUGGAAUUAAUUUGAAUUUUAUAUGGAAUAUUGAAUAUUAAACACUGCUGUUGUUUUUUUGGUUUUUAAGCACUGCAGAACAAGCACGGUUUUCCUUUUAUUUUCAAGGCUAGAUUGAUCAGAAAUUUAUGAUUUUUAGUUUAUUAGAAAGCUUAAUCCGAGAUGGAUGCCUGAACAUAAAGUUUUUGCAAUUCCGAAUUCAUUUGGUAUUUUAAAAACAUAAUUAAAAUUAGGCUGCCGGUGUUAUUUUGGUAACUACCUUGGGUAUGGAUCUUAAGAAAAGAUUCCUAUAUUAUUAUCAAAUAUUUUUUAGAAUGUACUGUUGUAGUACUUGAUGAUAAAAGGUUGGUGAAAUAUUGAGAAAGAGGGAAACCCGUAAGGGUGGUUAAGUCCUAUUUUUAGAGGAGAUCAUGUCCAAACUUUUAUAAAAAUAUAAGGACUUAAUCAAAAUGAAUAUUUAAGACUUGUUUAAUGAUGAUAACUUCAACAAUUCUUUUGAGAAAAGAUAAUCCGUUUAUGAAAUUAUUGGCAAAGACGUGGGUUUUGUCCCGCUUGCAUAUUUAUGAUUAUAAAAGAGAAUAAAAACCAGAGGAUCUGUUGAAAGGUCAUUUGUUGCUUGAGGCAACCCAAGAUAUGUUGUUUAUUCAUUUGUUGCACUAAGGCAACUUCAGAGAUAUUUAUAUGUUCAUCUGCUGCAUUGAGGCAGUCAGAUAGAUGGUGGUUCGACCACUGAGAACGCUUUCCUGUGGUACAGAUCCAUAUUUCAUUUCUGUAAGGCAGAGGGGUUAUUUCCUGCUACAGAAGUACCGUGACCACCUGUUUCAUUUCUGUAGUGGCAGAGGGAUUAUUUCCUGUAUACAGAAGGUGUGUCGGCAUACAUCCCUGCAGUGGCAGAUGUGUUAUUUCCUGCAUGCAGUGGACCCUGUGGUGGCAGAGGGGUUAUUUCCUGUACACAGGGGUAUAGCCAACAGGAAAUCCAUAUCCGGGUAGUAAUGCUGGGUUAAGCCAGGAGCGGGUAGAAACCGACAGAUGAGCUCAUUACCUACACUAUGGCUAGACAUGCAUCAUCUUGUUUUUGCAUUAUUCUUUGUGAUAUUUCCUAUGCUUUUAUUGUGUUCUUUAUUUUGUUUGCUUGUGUUCUAUUUGUAUAGUUCUACUUGCCUAUUUUUGAAUUGCGCUUAGAGUUAGGUAUUAUAUGAAAAGUCAUACUAGUUCAGCAUAGACUUAAUGAACCUAUGUUUAGGACAUGCUGACUAUUCAUACCGAGAUUGACAUAAGCUAAUAUCCAAUUCUCUUUCAACAUAAUUUUCAAAGAGUCUUAUGUAAUUAAUGAAAAUGAAUAUUAUUGAAUUAAAUUAUCUAUUUGCAUUUUUAUUCUUUAUUUUUACGACAUUCUCGAUCUCUACUGAGAACUUGUGGUUUGGUUCUCACCCCCAAAUUUUUCACCCUUUCAGUGACACAGGUUUGAAGACGCAAUAUGAAGCUGCAAGCGAUUAGUCGAUUUUUUCAUUAUUUUAAUUGCUUUCAUAGAGUCCCUCCCUAUUGUCCUUUGAGAUUUUAUCUUACAUAGAGGGGUAGGUAUGGUACACUGUAUUUGAGUUUUAUUUGGUUUCUUUUGUAUAAAAAUUAUUGCUAAUAGUAUUUAUGUGAUUAUUAUUACUUGUAGAAUCUUUGAUAUAUGUCUUUAAUAAAUAAAAACAAAAUUUUUCGGUAUUUUCUUAAAUUAGAAACGCGAAAUCAAAAUAAAGGCUCAGUAAUUAAGUAGUUAAUACUAGAAAAGGUUACGUAAUGUUCUUUCUAGUAGAAAUACCCUGACUUAAGCAAGGUAUUUUGCUGGAAGGGAUGUUACAGUAAAGGUGUCAUGCACAUAAAUUAAUCCCUCACUUUGCAUUAAGUGACUCAUAUUAGUCCCUAAAAUUAAAUAUCGUCGUGCACCAAACUAAUCGAUUCACCAGUUUUUUUUCAUUUUUUUAAAAAAUUUAAAAUUUUCAAUAUCUUGGAUGCACUAAUUUUAAUUUUGUUUUUUCAUAUAUCAUUUAAAUACAAGUACUUUCAUAAAAAUUCUCAUUGUCAUUAUUACAUCAUACUUCUAUUUAUAGUAUAAUUCUCAUUCUCUAAUUGGGCUAACCCAAUACUAAUCUUAUCAUUAUCCUAUCCUUCAAAACAACCUUGUCCUUAAGAUUGGAGAAAAAAUAUAAAACCUAAGUAAAAUCGUAAAUAUGAAUUACAAGUACUAAACAAAAUUAAUUUAAAAAAUAAUAUUUUCUAUACUACUACUUAAAAUAAAAAUUCGCCACCAGAAUCACAUUAUUUAAAAUAGAGUAAAGGACAAAUAGGUCCCUGACCUUUUUUUUGUGGACAUUUUUGUCCUCAAGGAAGAAAAAAUACAUUCAAGUCCCUCACUUCCAAAAAACGUGGACAUUUCAACCCUUCCGUUGAAUUCAGGCGUUUGGACUGGACGGAAAAGUCUGACCUGGCAGAGGUGGCACUGACCUGGCCGUUACGGAGCCCACGUGGCAGGAAGCUUUUCGAAACAGGACAUAUAAGUCCCCGGAGAUGAAAACAACGCCAUUUCGUUACCUCCCCUCCAAACACAGUUGAAUCCCCGUAUACAAUACCCAGAAGACCCAUACUUGAGUGAGAGAAUUACUGAAAAUCCUAUGCCAAAGACGAUCAAACUCUUUCGUCUCUAUUUUUCCCUCCAAAAAAUACAACACGUACAAGAGCAAUAGGUGCCGGUUGAAGUUGGUGCCAGAAGCUGAGAAGAAGCUUGCUCUGAGGUCAUGGUUGCUAUCUUCGUCAGAAGGUAAAAUUGUGAUGCUUAGCUAGGAAGGCAAUGUGUGUGCAUGUUUAUAGUGUAAGAUAGAAUAUGAAAAAAGGGGUUUAAAGCGUCCUUUGUAGGAUUAGGGGAAAGGAUUGUGUUAGGGCAAUGUGGUUUCGUUCAUAUCUUGUGUUUAUGUGUUUUUUAUUUUAAUCCUAGUUCUGCACGGGUUAAUUUCAGAUGGUUGAUGUGUUUGUGGUGCCGGUCUUUCAUCAUGGAGGGAACUUUGUAAGGGAAAUUGAUGAAAAAAUGGUUUAUCAAAAUGGAAAGGAAGAGAGGUUUCCUCAGAUGGACCUAGACUUUGUUAAUUUUGGAGACCUGGUGACACUAUUUAAGGGCUUGGACUACCAGUCAUACAAGGCAGUAUACUGGUAUGAUCCAACAAGCACUGACAUUGAAUCCGCAAUGAACAUAUUGACUAGGGAUGCAGGGAUCAACGCAAUGCGAGAGAACUUAAUGAAGAACCCAGGGCUAGGUGAGUUCCAUAUAUACUUUGACCACCCUGUUAAUGAUCCGGAGGUUGUUGAGGAUGCUGCCCAGGACAGAGAUACUGCAGGGGAGGUGGAUGAAACUGCAGAGGAACUGAAUGCAUCCUCUUCAUCUGAUGACGGGUACAAGAGCACGGAGGACGUGUUGUACAAACCUCCACCGGCUGGAAUUGAGAGUGAUAGUACUGAAAGUGACAGCAAUGGUGGGGUUACUGCUGGGAAGAGGAAAAGAUGUGUCAAGGGUAAAAAGAAGGUAGUCACUCCGAAGAAAAAGGUAGUUACUCCAAGGAAAAAGGUAGUUAUUCUGAAGAAGCAAGGGAAGAGGAAGAGACAAUUUGGCACAAGGGUUAAGGAAAGAGGGGAAGGCAGUGGGAAUAGGAAUGAUGUACGUGGUGAAGCUGGGGAUCAGUUGCCUGAUGUCCAACCCGAUUAUGCAGUACGGGUGGGUUUUAUGUUAGUGAGCUCCCAACAGAGGUGGAGAAAAUCAUGUUUGAGUAUGAGUCUGAAGACUUGCAUACUCUCAUAUCAUCCGAUGAUGAAGGCAGAGGUAAUAAAUUUCCAGAUUUUGAUGAUGAUUAUGCUAAUGGUGAGGGCAGGUUUGAGUUAGGAACUAGGUUUACCACUGUGGACAGGUUCAAGGAGGUAGUUAAAGAUUCGUUCAUUGUUGAGGGGCGGGAAUUGAGGUGGAUAAAAAAUGACAAAGAGAGAGUGAGAGUGGGGUGUGGGGAUCAGGAGUGUCCUUACUUGGUUCACUUGUCAUAUAACAAAAGUUUGCAGUGUUAUCAAGUGAAGACCUACCAUCCAAAACACACUUGUGCAAGGGAUUUGGGCAGUAACGCUGUUGAUCAGCACUGGCUAAGUAAGAAAAUUGAGAAACGAAUGUCAACCCAACCACACAUGAAUACGAAGAAGACAACUGAUUUCCUUAAAGAGGAAUUUUCGCUCUGUCCCCAUCCUAAGAUGGUUUAUAGAGCAGUGAAGGAAGCUAGGGACAAGAUCAUGGGAAAUGAAAGGGAACAAUACAAGAGAACGAGGGAUUAUUGUGAGGAAGUACUUAGGAGAAAUCCAGGCUCAUCAGUUAGGCUUGAGCUCAUGCCAAUUCUAGAGGCUCCCCCUGUUUUUGAUAAACUGUACAUUUGCCUAGAUGCCUGCAAACAAGGUUUCAAAGAUGGAUGUCGUCCUUUGUUGCAUUUGGAUGGUUGCUUACUGAAAACAUAUUAUGUUGGUUGGCUUCUAGAAGCAGUUGCUCAGGACGCAAACAAUCAGUUUUAUGUGGUUGCAUAUGGGGUUGUCAGGACUGAGACCAAGGAUUCCUGAAAGUGGUUCCUGACUAAUCUGCAAGGGGACAUAUGAGACGAUGCAAACCAUGGCUGAAACUUCAUAUCAGACCAGCAGAAAGUGAAAGUAGUUUAUGGUUAUUUUCAUUGCUUUGUAUUUAGUUAAGAUGAUUGCUAACUAUUUGGUGAUCUUCAUUGCUAUCUAUUUGGUUAAUUUCAUUGCUGUCUGUUUGAUUAAUUUCAAUGCAGGGUUUGCUGCCUGUGCUGAAGGAGGUCAUGCCACAUGCUAAGCUCCGCAAUUGCGUCAUGCAUAUGUGGAAAAACUUCAUAAACCGCUACAAGGUCUUGUACAUUAGACAUGUUAUGUGGGAGUGUGCUAGAUGCAUGACUGUUGCUGAAUUCAAGGAAUGCAUGGAGAAGUUGAAGACAGUUAACCAGGGUGCUUGGGAGUACCUCAGUAAAUUUGAACCAGAAACAUAGGUUAAGGCUUACUUCUCCCAUGGACCAAAAGUGGAUAACCUCACAAACAUGUGCGAGGUUUUUAAUGCUAAAAUAGUAAACUACCGUUGCAAGCCUAUCCUAACUAUGUGUGAAGAGAUCAGGUGUUACCUGAUGAGGACUUGAGGAGGAUGGUGAAUCAUAAACGGGUAUUGGACAAUCACUCAGAGAAGCUAGCACCAGUUCAGGAAAAGAGGCUGGAGAAGUUAUUAAAUCUUAGCACCAAGUGGACGGCUGAAUGGAUUGGUGACAAUGAACGAAAGAGGUUUGAGGUUUCUCGCAAAGCAACGAAGGUGGAUGUGGACCUCAUUAGGUACAGUUGCUCAUGCAACAGAUGGCAAUUCACUGGUAACUACUGUUCUCACUUGAGUCAGUUUUUUGGUUAUUUUGAAAUGAAUUUCCUUUACUGUUUUUUUGGUUCCAUUACUCACCUUCACUGCAUUAUCUCAGGCAUGCCCUGUUUACAUGCACUAGCUGCCAUUUGGAAGAGACAUGACAUACCUCAUGACUAUGUUCACCCUUGGCUGUGCAUGGAGUCCAUCAGGAUGACAUAUGCACACUGCAUUAAGCCUGUUCCAAGUCCAGAAUUUUGGGCAAGAACUAAGUUCUCGAAGUUAGACCCACCCAUUAUCAAAAGGCUAAUUAGACAGCUAAAGGUUCAUAAUAGGCAAAAAGAUCCUGCUGAGCCCAUCAUGCAAGGGGGAAAACUGAAGAGAUCAUUCAUUGUAUUCUGCAGCAAGUGUGGUGAGAAGGGCCACAACUACAAAACAUGUAAGAGAGCUCCUUCCAACCCAAACUGGAAGCUGAAGACAAGGCGCCCUAGGAAGAAAGCAGCUAGCUCCUCCCAGUCACUGAUUGUGCUUCCUCUAUCACAAUCUGCUCCCCCACCAGAGGUAAGAUCCCUACUGUUAUCAUUGUCUUUUAGGGACUAUUCUGUCUUAGUACUAUUAUGGUUAGGGACUAAUCUGUCUUAGUAUACAAAACAUUAGGGUUAAAUAUGUCUUAGUUUACUAUUCAUGAGGUGCUGUUAUGUCCCAUCAUCAAACUGUUUACAUAUUACAUGCAUAUUUUCAGGAUACAUCCAGCAGCCAACCAGGCAGCUCCACAUGCCUGACCCCAAACUCCACUGUUGUGGAAUCACCUGCCCCAGAAAUCCACCUAUGCCACCAGCUCCAACAAGGGUGACAAGAUCCACAGUUGUCAUUUCACUUGCAGGGCCAACAGCUACUCAAGCCAGGCCACUAGCCCCAACUACAGGCCAUCCAUUUAAACCUCCAGGGAAAGCCAAUGACACAGCUCGCCCACAACAGUCCAGGUUCAGACCAAAAUAGAAGAUCUUCAGGCUGCCAGCUCUAAUUGCUGCCUGCACAAUCCCACCUAAAACACAAUAGCCAACUCUAUCUACCAUCCCAUCUGCAGCACGAAUCAGGAUGCUCCACCCCCAAAUUUUCCAACUUCAUCAACAACGAAGGACUCGAAGGAGUGAAGACUUCUGUCAUUAUGUGCUUUUGUGAAAACUUUUUGGAUAUGUAAUGGUUCAUAACAAGUAGUAGAUACAAUUUGCCUUUUUGUUACAUGCUUUUUGAACACUGGUGCGUAGAAAUCGUGACGGUUCCAUUCCUUGGUAACGGCACUAAAAACUCAAUACGCACGUUCAUAAUCUUAGUUCUUUGUCACAACUUCGCACAACUAACCAGCAAGUGCACUGGGUCAUCCAAGUAAUAAACCUUACGUGAGUAAGGGUCGAUCCCACAGAGAUUGUCGGCUUGAAGCAAGCUAUGGUCACCUUGUAAAUCUCAGUCAGGCGGAUUCAAUUGAUUAUGGAGAUUUAGUAAUUAAAAGAUAAAUAAAAUAUAAAAUAAAAAUAAUGAUACUUAUGUAAUUCAUUGGUGAGAAUUUCAGAUAAGCGUAUAGAGAUGCGUUCAUUCCUCCUGAACCUCUGCUUUCCUAUUGUCUUCAUCUAAUCAUUCAUACUCCUUUCUAUGGCAAGCUGUAUGUUAGGCAUCAUCGUUGUCAAUGGCUACAUCCUGUCUUCUUAGUGAAAAUGGUCCAAUGCGCUGUCACUGCAUGGCUAAUCAUCUGUCGGUUCUCGAUCAUACUGGAAUAGGAUCCAUUGAUCCUUUUGCGUCUGUCACUACCCCAGCACUCGCGAGUUUGAAGCUCGUCGCAGCCAUCCCUUCCCAGAUCCUACUUGAAAUACCACAGACAAGGUUUAGACUUUCCGGAUCUCAAGAAUGGCCGUCCAUGGAUUCUAACUUAUACCACGAAGAUUCUGAUUAAGGAAUCCCAGAGAUACUCAUUCAAUCUAAGGUAGAACGGAAGUAGUUGUCAGGCAUGCGUUCAUAGGUUGGGAAUGAUGAUGACUGUCACGAUCAUCACAUUCAUAUUGAAGUGCGAAUGAAUAUCUUAGAAUCAGAAUAAGCUUGAAUUGAAUAGAAAAACGAUAGUACUUUGUAUUAAUUCAUGAGGAACAGCAGAGCUCCACACCUUAAUCUAUGGUGUGUAGAAACUCUACCGUUGAAAAUACAUAAGUGAUGAAGGUUCAGGCAUGGCCGAAUAGCCAGCCUCCAAACGUGAUCUAAAGAUGAAACUAAAGAUGUAAAUGCAAUAGUAAAAAGUCCUAUUUAUGCUAAACUAGUUACUAGGGUUUAUAGAAAUGAGUAAAUGAUGCAGAAAUCCACUUCCGGGGCCCACUUGGUGUGUGCUUGGGCUGAGCAUUGAGCUUUACAUGUGUAGAGGCUUCUCUUGGAGUUGAACGCCAGUUUGUAACCUAUUUCUGGCGUUUAACUCCACUUUGCAACCUGUUUCUGGCGUUUAACUCCAUAAUGCAGCAUGGAACUGGCAUUGAACGCCAGUUUGCGUCAUCUAAACUCGGAGGAAUAGCGAUGGAUUCCUAUGAAGCAUUCAGGAACAAGAAGAUUCAAUCGGACGACGAAUUCUUACGUGGUCCAAGGAAAUCAAAGGUCCGCUUCCACGAUUUCAUCUAUAUCGAAUCUGAAUAUCAGAAUAGCUUAUAUAGUCAUGAUUCAAUUCAGGUCCACUGACUUUUGAUUGAUUUCUCUUCGGAUCUGAUUGGAACAUUGGAGAAGUAGGAAGAAGAGAAAGUAGCUGCGAUUGCUUGGAGACCUCUUGAAUCGAUUCUUACUUAGACUACAAUAAUUAUUAUAACCACAACUUGUCUUGUCGUACUAGAAGUUCGAACUAGAGGCAGGAAGUAAGUACUGGCGCAGGGAAUGGAGUUUUAAGAACAGGAACAUCGUUAUGCCUUCCUUUCAGUCCUCUGAUCUUACCUUAGACCCUCCAUGCUAUGCGGGGAAGCGAGGUAAGGGCUAGCUUCUAAUCUCCGAUGAUGCCAAGCGAGUCUUCUCGUACUUCAGGCACUCCAGAGGUUAGUUUGUAAAAGAGUGAGAACAUGUGAAACAACAAAGAGAAUUAGGAAUGGAAGGUGGGUGCCCUCUAUAUUGGGGGUUGAUUCUAGCUUUCCGUCAUCUCAACCUAAGCAUCACGUUCCUAGGGACAGAGACAUCUGCGCUCUAAGGCUAUCAUAGCCAGCAUGGUUACAUCUAACUGCCUACUGGGCAAGCUUCAACUUCAAAGUCACCUGAUUUGGAUAUGGACUAUUAUAUAUUGCUGGAAAGCCCUGAAUGUCUACUUUCCAAAGCAAUUGGGAGCGCGCCAUUUGGAGUUCUGUAGCUCCAGAAAAUGCACUUUGAGUGCAGGGAGGUCAGAAUCCAACAGCAUCUGCAGUCCUUCUUCAACCUCUGAAUCUGAUUUUUGCUUAAGUCCCUCAAUUUCAGCCAGAAAAUACCUGAAAUCACAGAAAAACACACAAACUCAUAGUAAAGUCCAGAAAUGUGAUUUUUAUUUUAAAACUAAUAAAAAUAUACUAAAAACUAACUAAAUUAUACUGAAAAUUAUGUAAAAAUAAUGCCAAAAAGCGUAUAAAUUAUCCGCUCAUCACAACACCAAACUUAAAUUGUUGCUUGUCCCCAAGCAACUGAAAAUUAAAUAGGAUAAAAAGAAGAAAAUAUACUAUAAAUUCCAAAAUAUCAAUGAAACUUAGUUCCAAUCAGAUGAGCGAGACUUGUAGCUUUUUGCCUCUUGAAUAGUUUUGGCAUCUCACUUUAUCCGUUGAAGUUCAGAAUGAUUGGCGUCUAUAGGAACUUAGAAUUCAGAUAGUGUUAUUGAUUCUCCUAGUUCAGUAUGUUGAUUCUUGAACACAGCUACUUUAUGAGUUUUGGCUGUGGCCCUAAGCACUUUGUUUUUCAGUAUUACCACCGGAUACAUAAAUGCCACAGACACAUAACUGGGUGAACCUUUUCAGAUUGUGACUCAGCUUUGCUAAAGUCCCCAAUUAGAGGUGUCCAGGGUUCUUAAGCACACUCUUUUUUUUGCUUUGGACCUUGACUUUAACCGCUCAGUCUCAAGUUUUCACUUGACACCUUCACGCCACAAGCACAUGGUUAGGGACAGCUUGGUUAGCCGCUUAGGCCAUGAUUUUAUUCCUUUAGGCCCUCCUAUCCACUGAUGCUCAAAGCCUUGGAUCAUUUUUAUUUACCCUUGCCUUUUGGUUUAAAGAGCUUUUGGCUUUUUCUGCUUGUUUUUUUUUUCUUUUUCUUUCUUUUUUUCCGCUAUUUUUUUUCUGCAAGCUUUUGUAUUCACUGCUUUUUCUUGCUUCAAGAAUUAUUUUUAUGAUUUUUCAGAUUAUCAAAUAACAUUUCUCCUUUUUCAUCAUUCUUCAAGAGCCAACAUAUUUAACAUUCAUAAACAUCAACUUCAAAAGACAUAUGCACUGUUCAAGCAUUCAUUCAGAAAACAAAAAGUAUUGUCACCACAUCAAAAUAAUUAAACUAGUUUCACGGAUGAAUUCAAAACCAUGUACUUCUUGUUCUUUUGUUUUUAGAAUAUUUUUUUCAUUUAAGAGAGGUGAUGGAUUCAUAUUCAUAACUUUAAGGCAUAGACACUUAGACACUAGUGAUCAUAUAGUAAAGACACAAACAUAAAUAAAACAUAAAGCUCAAAAAUCUAAAAACAGUAAAAUAAAUAGACAAGGAGAUUAAGGAAUGAGUCCACCUUAGUGAGGGUGGCGUCUUCCUCUUCUUGAAGAACCAAUGGUGCUUUUGAGCUCCUUUAUGUCUCUUCCUUGCCUUUGUUGCUCCUCCCUCAUAGCUCUUUGAUCUUCUCUAAUCUCAUGGAGGAUGAUGGAGUGCUCUUGGUGCUCCACCCUUAGUUGUCCCAUGUUGGAACUUAAUUCUCCUAGGGAGGUGUUGAUUUACUCCCAAUAGUUUUGUGGAGGAAGGUGCAUCCCUCGAGGCAUCUCAGGGAUUUCAUGGUGGGGAAUUUUCUCAUGCUCUUGUUGAGGUCCAUGAUCUCUUAUUUGCUCCAUCCUUUUCUUAGUGAUGGGCUUGUCCUCUUCAAUGAGGAUGUCUCCCUCUAUGUCAAUUCCAGCCGAAUUGCAGAGGUGGCAUAUGAGGUGAGGAAAGGCUAACCUUGCCCAAGUGGAGGACUUGUCAGCCACCUUGUAAAGUUCUUGAGGUAUAAUCUCAUGAACUUCUACCUCCUCUCCAAUCAUGAUACUAUGGAUCAUGAUGGCUCGGUCUAUAGUAACUUCAGACCGGUUACUAGUAGGAAUGAUUGAGCGUUGAAUGAACUCUAACCAUCCCCUAGCCACUGGUUUGAGGUCAUGCCUUCUUAGUUGAACCGGCUUGCCUCUUGAGUCAAUUUUCCAUUGAGCUCCUUCUUCACAUAUGUCUCUGAGGACUUGGUCCAACCUUUGAUCAAAGUUGACCCUUCUUGUGUAGGGGCAUGCGUUCUCUUCCAUCAUUGGCAAGUUGAAUGCCAACCUUACAUUUUUCGGACAGAAAUCUAAGUAUUUCCCCCGAACCAUGGUAAGCCAAUGCUUUGGAUUCGAGUUCACACUUUGAUCAUGGUUCCUAGUGAUCCAUGCGUUUGCAUAGAACUCUUGAACCAUUAGGAUCCCGACUUGUUGAAUGGGGUUGGUGAGAACUUCCCAACCUCUUUUUCGGAUCUCAUGUCGGAUCUCCGGAUACUCAUUCUUUUUGAGCUUGAAAGGAACCUCAGGGAUUACUUUCUUCUUGACCACAACUUCAUAGAAGUGGUCUUGAUGGACCUUUGAGAUGAAUCUCUCCAUCUCCCAUGACUCAGAGGUGGAAGCAAUUGCCUUCCCUUUCCUCUUUCUAGAGGUUUCUCUGGCCUUAGGUGCCAUAUAUGGUUAUGGAAAAACAAAAAGCUAUGCUUUUACCACACCAAACUUAAAAUGUUUGCUCGUCCCCGAGAAAAAGAAGAAAGAAAGUAGUAGAAAAAGAAGAAAAUGGAGGAGAUGGGGGAAGAAUAUGUAUUCGGCCAAGGAGAAGAAGAGAGGGUUGUGUUGUGUGAAAAUGAAGAAGUAGUGAGGGGUUUAUAUAGGAGUGAGGGGGGAUGUAGGGUUCGGCCAUUAGGGUUGGGUUUGGGAGGAAAAUUAGUUUGAAUUUUGAAGGUAGGUGGGGUUUAUGGGGAAGAGAGGAUGGAUGUAAGUGGUGAAGAGGUGAUGGAAAAGAGUGAUUGAGGUGAUUGGUGAAGGGUAUUUGGGGAAGAGAGUUAUGAAAAGGUGUGAAGAGGAGAGAAGAAAAUGUGGGGAUCCUGUGGAGUCCACAGAUCCUGAGGGGAUCCUGUGGGAUCCACAGAUCAAGUGGGGUCAAGGACUUAACAUCCCUGCUCCAAUUAGGCGUGUAAAAUGCCCUUGCUGUGCAAUCCUGGCAUUUAACGCCAGACUGCUGCCUGUUUCUGGCGUUAAACGCCCAAAUGUAGCUUGUUUCUGGCGUUUAACGCCAGGUAGAUGCUUGUUUCUGGUGUUAAACGCUAGACAGAUGCUUGUUUCUGGCGUUUAAAUGCUAGAUUGUUCUCCUCCAGGGUGUGCUGUCUUCAAUGCUAUUUUUCAUUCUGUUUUUUAUUUUUCAGUAGUUUUUGUGACUUCACAUGAUCAUCAACCUAAUAAAACACGAAAUAACAAAAAGAAAAUAAAAUAGAUAUGCUUAAAUAACAUUGGGUUGCCUCCCAACAAGCGCUUCUUUAAUGUCAAUAACUUGACAGUGAGCUCUCAUGGAGCCUCACAGAUAAUCAGAGCAAGGUUGGAACCUCCCAACACCAAACUUAGAGUUUGACUGUGGGGGCUUUGGUUGACUCUGCAGUGAGAGAAGCUUUUCAUGCUUCCUCUCCAUGGUUACAGAAGGAGAUCCUUGAGUUUUAAACACAAGGUUGUCCUUAUUCAGUUGAAGGACCAACUCUCCUCUGUCCACAUCAAUCACAGCUCUUACUGUGGCUAGGAAGGGUCUUCCAAGGAUGAUGGAUUCAUCAUCUUCCUUCCCAGUGUCUAGGAUUAUGAAAUCAGCAGGGAUGUAAAGGCCUCCAACCUUUACUAACACGUUCUCUACUUGUCCAUAAGCCUAUUUUCUUAAGUUGUCUGCCAUCUCUAAUGAGAUUUGGUGCACGAAAUUGUGAUCUCCAGGCUCGAACAAAUCCUGGUAAUGGCUCCAAAGCUUGGUGCUCUGAUCUUAAUUCAUAAUUGUCACAACUUCGAUACAACUAACCAGCAAGUGCACUGGGUCGUCCAAGUAAUACCUUACGUGAGUAAGGGUCGAAUCCCACGGAGAUUGUUGGUAUGAAGCAAGCUAUGGUCACCUUGCAAAUCUCAGUUAGGCAGAUAUAAAUGGAUAAUGGUGUUUUCGAAUUUAAUAUAAUAAAAUAGGGAUAGAGGUACUUAUGUAAAUCAUUGGUAGGAAUUUCAGAUAAGCGAAUAGAGAUGCUUUUCGUUCCUCUGAACCUCUGCUUUCCUGCUAUCUUCAUCCAAUCAGUCUUACUCCUUUCCAUGGCUGGCUGUAUGCAAGGGCAUCACCGUUGUCAGUGGCUACACCCCCUCCUCUCAGUGAAUAAUAUGCUCACGCACCCUGUCACAGCACGGCUAUUCAUCUGUCGGUUCUCCAUCAUGCUGGAAUAGGAUUCACCCUCCUUUUGNNNNNNNNNNNNNNNNNNNNNNNNNNNNNNNNNNNNNNNNNNNNNNNNNNNNNNNNNNNNNNNNNNNNNNNUUUUGAAAAAGAUUUGAUUUUUAAAAUCACAAUUAAUGACUUGAUUCAUAAGAAAUCACAAGAUAUGAUUCUAGAACUCAAAGUUUGAAUCUUUCUUAACAAGCAAGUAACAAACUUGAAAUUUUUGAAUCAAAACAUUAAUUGUUUAUUGUUAUUUUCGAAAAUUUGGUAUAAAAAUAAGAAAAAGAUUUUUGAAAAAUAUUUUUUGGAAUUUUCGAAAAUAACUAAGAAUUUUGAAAAAGAUUUGAUUUUUGAAAAAGAUUUUGAAAAAGAUAAGAUUUUCAAAUUGAAAAUUUGAUUUGACUCAUGAGAAACAACUUGAUUUUAAAAAUUUUUGAAAAAGUCAAUUCAAAUUUUCGAAUUUGAUGAGAGAAAAAGGGAAAGAUAUUUUUUUGAUUUUUGAAUUUUUUUUUUUGAAUUUUUAUGAAAACAUGAAAAAUAUGCAAUGCAUGAAAAUUUUAGAUCAAAACAAUGAAUGCAUGCAAGAAUGCUAUGAAUGUCAAGAUGAACACCAAGAACACUAUGAAUGUCAAGAUGAACAUCAUAGACAAAAUUUUGAAAAAUUUUUAAUGCAAAUAAAACAUGCAAGACACCUAACUUAGAAUUCUUUAAUGCCUAGACAUUAAGAAUUCAAGAAUGCAUAUGAAAAACACUAUACAACACAAAACAAAAAAUCAUCAAGAUCAAACAAGAAGACUUACCAAGAACAACUUGAAGAUCAUGAAGAACACUAUGAAUGCAUGAAAUUUUCGAAAAAUGCAAGAUGCAUAUGCAAGUGACACCAAACUUAUGAUAUGACUCAAGACUCAAACAAGAAACAGAAAAAUAUUUUUGAUUUUUAUGAUUUUCUAAUUUUUUUUGGAUUUUUUUCGAAAAUUAUAUGAAAAAGAAAAAUAAGGAUUCCAAAAUUUUUAAUAUGAAUUCCAGGAAUCUUGCAUUCUUAGUCUAAAGCUUCAGUCCAGGAAUUAGACAUGGCUCACUAGCCAGCCAAGCUUUCAAUGAAAGCUUCGGUCCAAAACACUAGACAUGGCCAAUGGCCAGCCAAGCUUCACCAUGUAAUUCAGACAUGACAUGCCUGACAUACCCUACAAUCGUAUAAGAGCUGAUGGUUGGAAGCCUCAGUCCAAAAGAAUUUAGACAUGGCUUUACAGCCAGCCAGGCUUCACAUGCUUCAUGAAACACUAGAAUUCAUUCUUUAAAAAUUUUGAAUCUAAUUUUUUUUUCGAAAACAUAAGAAAAAUUUUUGAAAUAUUUUUGAAAAAUUUUGAAAAUAAAAUAAAAAGAAAAGUACCUAAUCUGAGCAACAGGAUGAACCGUCAGUUGUCCAAACUCAAACAAUCCCCGGCAACGGCGCCAAAAACUUGGUGUUAUUGCCGGGAUUCAAACUUGGCACUGAUGUUACCGGACCAAAAGCUUGCCGAAAACUCAAACAAUCCCCGGCAACGGCGCCAAAAACUUGGUGCACGAAAUUGUGAUCUCCAGGCUCGAACAAAUCCUGGUAAUGGCUCCAAAGCUUGGUGCUCUGAUCUUAAUUCAUAAUUGUCACAACUUCGAUACAACUAACCAGCAAGUGCACUGGGUCGUCCAAGUAAUACCUUACGUGAGUAAGGGUCGAAUUUGGAGUUGAACGCCAGUUUCUGUGCCAGUUUGGGCGUUCAACUCUGGCUUUGGAUCCUUUUCUGGCGCUGGACGCCAGAUUUGGGCAGAAGGCUGGCGUUGAACGCUAGUUUACGUCGUCAAUUCUUGGCCAAAGUAUGGACUAUUAUAUAUUGCUGGAAAGCCCUGGAUGUCUACUUUCCAACGCAAUUGGAAGCGCGCCAUUUCGAGUUUUGUAGCUCCAGAAAAUCCGCUUUGAGUGCAGGGAGGUCAGAAUCCAACAGCAUCAGCAGUCCUUCUUCAACCUCUGAAUCUGAUUUCUGCUCAAGUCCCUCAAUUUCAGCCAGAAAAUACCUGAAAUCACAGAAAAACACACAAACUCAUAGUAAAGUCCAGAAAUGUGAAUUUAUCAUAAAAACUAAUGAAAACAUCCCUAAAAGUAGCUAGAUUCUACUAAAAACAUACUAAAAACAAUGUCAAAAAGCGUAUAAAUUAUCCGCUCAUCAAGAUUCUAGCAGCUUGCACCUCAAAGAUCCCUAGUUUCUCCAUUACAGAGAGUGGCAUUAAGUUUAUUCCUGACCCCAGGUCACACAGAGCCUUCUCAAAGGUCAUGGUGCCUAUGGUGCAGGGUAUUAAGAAUUUUCCUGGAUCCUGUUUCUUUUGAGGUAAUUUCUGCCUAUCCAAUGCAUUUAGUUCAUUGGUGAGCAAGGGAGGUUCAUCUUCCCAAGUCUCAUUACCAAAUAACUUGGCAUUCAGCUUCAUGAUUGCACCAAGGUAUUUAGCAACUUCCUCUUCAGUAAUGUCUUCAUCCUCUUCAGAGAAAGAAUACUCAUCAGAGCUCAUGAAAGGCAGAAGGAGGUUCAAUGGAAUCUCUAUGGUCUCUAGAUGAGUCUCAGAUUCUUUUGGUUCCUCAAAGGGAUACUCCUUAUUGGUCACUGGACGUCCCAGGAGGUCUUCCUCACUAGGAUUCACGUCCUCCUCUUCCCUUGUAGGUUCGGCCAUGAUGGUCAAUUCAAUGGCCUUACACUCUCUCUUUGGAUUCUCUUCUGUAUUGCUUGGGAGAGUACUUGGAGGGAUUUCAGUGACUCUUUUACUCAGCUGGCCCACUUGUGCCUCCAAAUUCUUAAUGGAGGACCUUGUUUCAUUCAUGAAACUCACAGUGGCCUUAGAUAGAUCAGAGACUAUAUUUGCUAAGCUAGAUGAAUUCUGCUCAGAAUUCUCUGUCUGUUGCUGAGUGGAUGAUGGAAAAGGCUUGCUAUUGCUAAACCUGUUUCUUUCACCAUUAUUAAAGCCUUGUUGAGGCUUUUGUUGAUCCUUCCAUGAGAAAUUUGGAUGAUUUCUCCAUGAGGGAUAAUAGGUGUUUCCAUAGGGUUCACCCAUGUAAUUCACCUCUGCUAUUGCAGGGUUUUCAGGAUCAUAAGCUUCUUCUUCAGAAGGUUGUGCUUUAGCUUCCCUUAGCUUCCUCUUCAGAGUCCUUUCAGGUUCAAGAUCAACCUCAAUAAGAAUGUUCUUAUCCUUGCUCCUGCUCAUAUGAAAAAGAAGAAAACAGAAAAAAAAAUAUAGAAUCCUCUAUGUCACAGUAUAGAGAUUCCUUUAUGUGAGUAGAAGAAUAUAUGAAUAGAAGAAGGAGAAUUCAAACACAAGGGUGAGGAGUAGGUUCGAAUUCUUGGGUGAAAAAGGAAUGUUAGUAGAUGAAUAAAUAAAUAGAAGAAUUUUCGAAAAUUAGAUAAAAUAAAAUAAAAGUAUUUUUGUUUUUAAAUUAAAAAUUAAAAUUAAAAAUUCAAAACUUAAUCAAGGAAAAUUAAAUCAAAUUAAUUAAAUUUAAAACAAUUAGUUAAUUUAAAAAGGAAUUUUGAAGAAGAGGGAAGGGAUUUUCAAAAAUUAGAGAGAGAGAGAGAGUUAGUUAGGUAGUUUUGAAAAGAUAUGAUUGAAAUAAUAAACUUUUAAAAUCGAACAAAAAGUCAAGUAGUUAAUUAAAAAAGAUUUGAAAAUCAAUUUUUGAAAAGAUAAGAAGUUAGAAAAGAAGUUGGAAAAGAUUUUGAAAUUGAUUUUGAAAAAGAUGUGAUUGACAUUUAUUUUGAAAAAGAUUUGAAAAAGAAAUUUAAAAAGAUUUGAUUUUUGAAAUCAAAGUUGAUUACUUGACUAACAAGAAACUUGAAGAUAUGAUUUUAAAAUUUAAAAAUUGAACCUUUCUUAAUAGGCAAGUAACAAACUUAAAAAUUUUGAAUCAAUCACAUUAAAUGUUAACAUUGAAUUCGAAAAAGAUAAGAAAAAGAUUUUGAAAAUCAAUUUGAAAUUUUCGAAAAUAUGAAAGAAAAAAUGAAAAAGAUUUGAGUUUUGAAAAAGAAUUGAAAAAGAUAAAAUUUUUAAAUUGAAAAUUUGAUUUGACUCAUAAGAAACAACUAAAUUUUAAAAAAUUUUGAAAAAGUCAACUCAAAUUUUCGAAAAUUUAUGAGUGAAAAAGGGAAAGAUAUUUUUUUAAUUUUUAAACUUUUAAUGAUGAGAGAGAAAAAUACCAAAAAGACUCAACGCAUGAAAAUUGUGGAUCAAAACAAAUGAUGCAUGCAAGAACACUAUGAAUGUCAAGAUGAACACCAAGAACACUUUGAAGAUCAAGAUGAACAUCAAGACUUAUUUUUGAAAAUUUUUUAGAAAAGAAAAACAUGCAAGACACCAAACUUAGAGAUUUUUCAUGUUUAGAUACUAUGAAUGCAAAAAUGCAUAUGAAAAACAACAAAAGACACAUAACAAGAAAAUAUGAAGAUCAAACAAGAAGACUUGUCAAGAACAACUUGAAGAUCAUGAAGAACACAUGCAUGAGUUUUCGAAAAAUGCACAAAUUUUAAAAAUAUGCAAUUGACACCAAACUUAAAAACUGACACAAGAUUCAAGCAAGAAACACAAAAAUUAUUUUUGAUUUUAUGAUUUUAUAAUAUUUUUUUUUUUGGAUUUUUCGAAAAUUAUUUUGGAAAAACGAAAAAAGAAUAAAUUUUUUUAUAUUAUUUUCGAAAAUAAGAAAUAAAAAGCUUAAAAAUAAAAUAAAAUUACCUAAUCUGAGCAACAAGAUGAACCGUCAGUUGUCCAAACUCGAACAAUCCCCAGCAACAGCGCCAAAAACUUGGUGCGCAGAAAUCGUGACGGUUCCAUUCCUUGGUAACGGCGCUAAAAACUCAAUACGCACGUUCAUAAUCUUAGUUCUUUGUCACAACUUCGCACAACUAACCAACAAGUGCACUAGGUCGUCCAAGUAAUAAACCUUACGUGAGUAAGGGUCAAUCCCACGGAGAUUGUCGGCUUGAAGCAAGCUAUGGUAUAGGAUCCAUUGAUCCUUUUGCGUCUGUCACUAUGCCCAGCACUCGCGAGUUUGAAGCUCGUCGCAGCCAUCCCUUCUCAGAUCCUACUCGGAAUACCACAGACAAGAUUUAGACUUUCCGGAUCUCAAGAAUGGUCGUCCAUGGAUUCUAACUUAUACCACAAAGAUUCUGAUUAAGGAAUCCCAGAGAUACUCAUUCAAUCUAAGGUAGAACGGAAGUGGUUGUCAGGCACGCGUUCAUCGGUUGGGAAUGAUGAUGACUGUCACGAUCAUCCAUUCAUAUUGAAAUGCGAAUGAAUAUCUUAGAAUCAGAAUAAGCUUGAAUUGAAUAGAAAAACGAUAGUACUUUGUAUUAAUUCAUGAGGAUCAGCAGAGCUUCACACCUUAAUCUAUGGUGUGUAGAAACUCUACCGUUGAAAAUACAUAAGUGAUGAAGGUUCAGGCAUGGCCGAAUGGCCAGCCCCCAAACGUGAUCUAAAGAUGAAACUAAAGAUGUAAAUACAAUAGUAAAAAGUCCUAUUUAUGCUAAACUAGUUACUAGGGUUUAUAGAAAUGAGUAAAUGAUGUAGAAAUCCACUUCCGGGGCCCACUUGGUGUGUGCUUGGGCUGAGCAUUGAGCUUUACACAUAUAGAGGCUUCUCUUGGAGUUGAACGCCAGUUUGUAACCUGUUUCUGGUGUUUAACUCCACUUUGCAACCUGUUUCUGGCGUUUAACUCCAGAAUGCAGCAUAGAACUGGCGUUGAACGCCAGUUUGCAUCAUCUAAACUCGGGAAACGUAUGGACUAUUAUAUAUUUUUGGAAAGCCCUGGAUGUAUACUUUCCAACGCAAUUGAGAGCGCACCAUUUGGAGUUCUGUAGCUCCAGAAAAUCCACUUUGAGUGCAGGGAGGUCAGAAUCCAACAGCAUCUGCAGUCCUUCUUCAACCUCUGAAUUUGAUUUUUGCUCAAGUCCCUCAAUUUCAGCCAGAAAAUACUUGAAAUCACAUAAAAACACACAAACUCAUAGUAAAGUCCAGAAAUGUGAUUUUUAUUUAAAAACUAAUAAAAAUAUACUAAAAACUAACUAAAUUAUACUGAAAACUAUGUAAAAACAAUCCCAAAAAGCAUAUAAAUUAUCCACUCAUCAAACACCCGUUGUGGGUCAAAUGAACUUGGAUAUUAGCUAUUACAGUUUUUUUGUUAGUAAUGCAAUGCUAUGUUAUGUAUUACUUAACCAACUUUAAUUUCGUAAACACCUUGCAAAACACGUACAGGGCAAUGCAAUCAUUCAUAUAAAUGAACUGUGAAUUUUUUUUUUUUGGUGCAACAAUACAACACACUUUUUCAUUCCUUUAUCAAUUCUUACAACUUAGAACAGCAAAACUCAACACAAUGACAAUAACACAAAUACACCAUCUUAUUGAGUUUUUUUUCAUCUCUAGAGCUACUAUCCUCUUCUCCAAGCAUGUGAUCUUCAUUUCCAUGUCUUGCUUCCCGUGAUAAUCUUCAACAUCCACAAAUUCCUUCUUUCUCAUAUACUUUGUUUCUAUCAAUCCAAGUCCAACAUCGUGCUCAUCAAGCCACAAAAAAAAAUUUGCAAUACGGUUGUCUUGCCUGCAGCAAAUCAAUCCACAUAAUUCAAAAACAAAAAACUGGUAACCCUAACACAUCUUCAAGCACACCUUCCACACAGUCGGUUACCAUACCUUGUAAAAGGGACAGCCCAGAAACAAUCUGUCCAGAUUGCUUCGCGUCUUCGACAUGAAAAGGAUUGCGUUUUCUCCACAAAAGCACGUUGGUGAGAUGCCAUCUUUGCCAUCCUUCCCGUUAGGAUGCGAGCUCGAGCCGAACUAACCUCCACUUCUUUUCCAACUUGAUAAUACUCCUUCAGAUGCCAUGGAAGGAAGAAUUUCCUUUAUUCCUCUACUCCCCACAACACCCACUUCGCCGUUUCUGUGCAGACGAGGGAUUAGGGCAAAGAAAUUUGAAAAAUUGGGGGAGGUAACGAAACGGCGUCGUUUUCGUCUCCAGGGACUUAUAUGUCCUGUUUUGAAAAGCUCCUUGCCACGUGGGCUCCAUAAUGGCCAGGUCAGCGCCACCUCUGCCAGGUCAGAAUUUUCCGUCCAGUCCAAAUGCCUGAAUUCAACGGAAGGGUCGAAAUGUCCACGUUUUUCGGGGGUGAGAGACUUGAAUGUAUUUUUCCUUCCUUGAGGACAAUAAUGUCCACAAAAAAAGGUCAGGAACCUAUUUGUUCUUUAAUCUUUAAAAUAAUAUCCACCAAUUAAAAGAUAACAAGCUUUCUGCAUCUGACCCAAAAAAAUCAAAUAAUAACCCUUAAUGGACCUUAAUAUACCUUCAGCAAAAAUUAUCAUUGAGUUUUGAUCUGUUAAUAAAAAAUUUGUACUGACUUCAGACUGGUAAAAUUGGGCUUGCCAUUGGCCCACUACAGACCACAAGGGUCUCCAAUGCAUAGCCUCAUUUGUCACCUCUCUCAGAAUUGUAUCUCUUCUCCCCUUUUUCCGGAAAUAGAUAUUUUCAAUUUUUUUUAAUACUUGAGGGAAUAAAGUGUGAUCUCUCACCAUUAAUUUUAUAAGUGGGACUAAAAAUAAAUAUGAGAGAGAGCAAUAAAGGGUUAGAUUAAACAAUUCACGCCAUCCACUUUUUCUCCACUGGAGAGGAUCUGCUCCCCCUUUUCCUCGUGCUCUGCUUCCUUCAUCCACCUUGUUCUAAAUCCAUACUCGUGGUUCCAUGAAAAAAUCGCCACCGCAACUCCAUCCCCCACACAGCUGGCCGUCGCAAGCUCACAUGGGGAACCGGUACUACCUUUCCACUCCCGUCUCUUCGCUGUUCGUUGUUCGCUAUUCACAUGGAGGAAACGGCACUGCUUUCCAGCUCCCUUUGCCACUGCCUGCCGUUGCAGUUGUGUCCUCUGUUUCAGUUCCAAGGGAAGACAGCUGUUAUGAGUGGUGGUGGCUUGGCCACUAACAAAGAGAUGCAACAGACCCAAACUCCACCGGUCACCGCUGUUGUUCUGCCCUCUGUCUUCAUUGACGCUGUUUUCCCCUCCACCGUCGUGAGUUUUCGCUCGUCCAUCGCGGAAGCACCGACCUCGGCGCUGCUCCUAACUUUGUUGUCUUCGCAGAAUCGCCACAGAUCGCGGCCGUACUCAUCAUCUGUGGCGGUCGUCCGCGGGUUCGGCGCCGCCCUUGGAAGAAAUCGCCAAUUGUCCUCGGCCAUAACCGUUUCCUCCAAAUGCACCAAAUGUAGAUCUAGGUGUUCUUCUCCUGUGUGUUCUGGAAUGAGAGGUAAUUUUGAUUGCAGUUCUGGAAUUGAAUUCUAGAAUCUUGCUUGAACUGAAAUUGCUGUUGAUUCUACAGGUUGAAAUUCAAAAUUGAAAGCUAAUUCUUCUUCUUCGGUCAAAUCUGUUGCUUCUUCUUCAUUUUCUUCAAAAAUAAACAAGGAAGAAUGAAUUAUUGCUCGAUUUGCCAGCUCUGUUGAUUUUAUUUUUUGUUGAGGUUGAAUUGUAAAAUUGAAAUCUGUUGCUUCCUGUUCUGUGUAUGCAGAAGUCAUUGCUAAGUCCAAAAGUUUUGGUGCUGCAUUCUUGACUUGUGCAUCUGAUAUUUGUUGAAUUUUCUAUCUCUGAAAUUUCUGCUUCUAGAUUUUGGUUGAAUUGUCUACUUCUAGUUUAUCUAGAAUUGUUAGAUCCAGUGUGUCUAUUGAUGAUUUUGUUGCUGCAUUCUCUAAUUCUUUAUUCUCAUAAAUCGAGUAUGAAUUUUGGAAUUGCAGAACUGGAAUUGAUGAAUUUGCUAUUUCUGAAUUUGUUGAAAUAUUGAUGAUUGGGUGAGAAUCUGAUGCUGAUUUGGCUUGAAUCUAUUGAUUAGCGUUCAAGGUCGCACAAAUUUUGGUGCAAGUUGUUUGAAUUUCUUCAAGUAUCUUGGUACGUUCUUGAUAAUAUGAAUUUAAGCUUUGUAAAUUAGUUUGAAUUUAUCUCAAAUGGAAUCCGCAGAAUUACUAUGAGAGUUUAGUAUGGUGAGAAGAGAGAAUUAGAGAUAAUAAAAAAGAAUAGAAGAAAAAUCUUUAGAAGUAGGACAAAAGAAAAAAAAUAGAAUUUUUAAUUAUAUCAUACAUAUUUCACAUUAUUACAUCAUACUCUUAUUUAUAGUAUAAUUUUCAUUCUCUAGUUGGAUUAGCUCAAUACUAAUCCUAUCAAGAGCACACAACAAAAAUAGGUUGGGAAGCAACCAGUAAGUAAAAAGAGAGAGAAGAGGUUAAUUGAUAAAAAACAAAAACAAACAGAAAAAACAUUUUUUUUUAAAUUAAAAUUAUUUUUAAGGUUAAUUGAUUUUUUUUGAAAUAAUUUGAUGAUUUAAAUUUUAUUUUAGUCGUUACUGAGCUAUUAUGUAUGCUUGUUUCGUUAAUAAUAAACAUCAUCACUGUAUGAAUGUGGUGAUAGCUAGGUAAGGUUAUAUGAGCACCUUCGGUGUGCUCUUAUGGCUUUACCUGUGUUUUGCUACUGCAAAGUUUUAACCACCAUGAAAUAAAAGAUCUUCAAGUAUAUUAUGUUUUAAUUUCUUUGAAAUUAAUGAAAAUCAAACACUUC
rnacentral:lncRNA from 1 species